AAAAACUAUAAGUUUAAUUAUUUAGUUUGUCCAUACUUUCGUGAUCUUAUAGAAUCACAGUUGGAGAUUGAGGGUUUUCAACAGAUAAAAAAGAGAAUUGCAUUUGGAGAUUUCGAAAAUCGUAGUGGAUUCCAUUCAAGGUCUAGAUCAGUUUUUGUUAAAUGUUUCUAUAUUUGCUUUUUACUACGUAGGUUAACACCUAAUUUUGUUUGGAUGAUAUAUAUAUAUAUAUGAAAAAAUUAAUUAGAUUUCAAAAAAAAAAAAUCAUCUCACGCCAAUGAAAUACUUCCUCAUUUCUCCUCUCAAAAUUUUCACCAAUCUAAUCACUAUUAAAAUAUGUUUUUUUUUAACUUCUUCCAUUUGUUCUGAUCAAAUGGACAUCAUCAUCCUCAUACCACCUUCAAUUUUGUACUCCACCCAUCAUCUCCUAAUUUUUUCAUCAUUUAUACAUGACCCACUAAGCCAUUCUUCAUUUUCAAUUAUCAUUUUAAAAAGCAUUACAUUUUGUCUUAUCGUGAAAAGUUUUCUCACCACUUGCGAAUAAUGUUAACCCACUCAAUGUUUUCUUUUUCUCGAAUACCAGGGAAUCCAAUGGCAAAAAGCCAGCACCUUUGUCAUUCUGAAGAGAGGGUCUCGUACAUUUUAGGGGAGAGGUUCUUUAAUUUUCACGGGGUAUUCUUCUAAAAGAGAACUUCCCAUAAUCCCUACAUUUUGGGGCCAGCACAGAAACCAUCCAAUUCCCUUCAUAUGUACUUCCAUUCCUUAAUUCUAAUCCAAUCUGGAAACAAUAUUGAUUCACAUGUAAUUAUUCAUGUCCUGGUUCUAUCCCAAAGCCAAAGCUAACACCAACAACCAUUCGAAUUAAAUCUUUACUUUCGGGCUUCAUCUUUUACCCAUCCUCCAUUCACACAUCAAGACCUUCAUCCUUCAUCUGCUCUGCACAGAAACCACAAAAUCCCCUUACCAUCAUAGACCUGUUCUUCCCCAAACAACAAUAUCAAAUCAAAUCCGAAACUAAUCUUCAAAGAAUAAUUUGGAAGAGAGUGAUUCACAGAGACUAAAUUUUAUUGAGUAAGUCUAUUCCUUUCAGAAUUACAAGAGAGUAAGUCUAUUCACAGAGAAGAAGUCAAAUACAUCAGAUCAAUGCCCAUAACAACUUUGGUGACAGUAAGGAGUGGAGGUGCCAGAUGUUGCUGCUGAUGGUGCUACGAUGCACAACGACAAGAACAGUGGUGGAUGCACAACGACAAGAACAGUGGUGGUCGGCAUUUCGGGCACGGUGUCCCAAUCUUGCUCCGGUGGUAGCUCGCGCGAGGCGUGAGUGUUGAGGGUACACAUAAAUAGACCAAAAUACAAAUCUUAGGCAUUGACAAACCUGCAAACUACCUAAAACAAGCAAAAAGGUAGUUGAGGAAAACUCGAGCAUUUCAAAAUAGCAAUUUUCUCUUCGUAAAGCCAAUGUAAUUUCACUUUCAAAGCUUGUCUGUCUCAGACAUCGAGGAUUGAAUCCAGAUAGAUUCUAAAAACUGGCAGUUGUUGUGCUUAACAUCCCUGGCAUCUUGAAGAUGGCAAUAACUUGAUACGGAGACAGACUCAGCAGCUUACAGCAACACAUGCUAACAAAUUACACACCUAAAGCGUAUGUGGGAAUUGUCCCAUAAUCUAUAAGUUGAUAGGCACAAUUUAAGAUCUCAGAAAUAUUACCUGCUGGUUGCUAUUAUGAUGCCAAGAGUGCUUCCAGCUUUGCAAUCUGGUCAUCCUCAUUCUGCGGAAUGGGAUCCUUACUUACCUCUUGAUACAAAUCAUGCUUCCACUUCUCAGUUUGAAUCUUAUCUUGUCUUCCAUUAAAUUUAUCUCUUCCCCUGUAACUGUCAUUGCCCCCAUACCUUCUUCCUCUUGAUGGAAACCCAUCUCUCCUAGCUCCAACCUUGUUAGGUGCUCUGUCAUCCGCAAAAGGCUUCUCAGGUCUACCCAAAUGGUGUGGGUUGUUGCUUCUUUCCUCCUUCUUCCUGUCAUUCCUUCCUGCAGGGUGGUCAAUUUCACUCGAAUUUAUCGCCACUGCUGCAACCAGAUUAGGAUCUCCUGAUUCCACUGGAAUCCUCUUCUCCCUAAAUGCAGGUCUUUUCCUUGAGGUAGGAAGUGGAUCAUCUUUCCUUUCAGAAAAAUCAUCUCUUCUCUGGAAAGUAUUAUUAUCUAGUUUAGCCUGUGAUUUACCAUCUCUCUGUUCUCUACGGUGACUUGUCUCUGCCCUUUCAUUAAGUUGCUUUCUUGCGUCCUUCCACCAUCCACGCUCUAAAAUAAAAGAAACCAAUUAGAUUAUAUUUAUUUCGUGUUUGUAAGUCAUAUUUCUACUUCAUGCAAAAGAAGGCUCGGGUGGCUCAAAAUUACAAAAACUUCUUUAAUCUCAACCAAAUUUUACAACAAAAAGAAUAGAACACAUUAUAACUGAAAAAAAAAGAAGCAUUUUUUAGCAUAAAAUGAAAGAAAUAUUGCGCUUGCAUGACUAGAGUCAAUAUACAAAUCAUCCAUAUACGGGACUCCCCAUCACAACUCAUGACUGAAAAGAUAACAGAAAAUACGAAGAUAAUACAAAACCUAAAUAAAUACAAAAUGGAAACUCACCACCUGCUUUACUUUGACCCGAGCUUUGGCCAACCUGCCCAGUGCUACCUCGUUUCUCGUGCUGUAAUAAGACAUGCAUAGGCAAGCCUAAGGUGGUUAUAUAUAUAUAUAUAUAUAUAUAUAUACAGAGGCAUUAUCAGGUAUGGUGCUGAACACGAACCCCACUACAUCACCCCCAAAAACAUAGAAUGCGUACACUGAACAAAAAUCAAGCACACAAAAUUUAAAAUCUCUAGUUGAAUGAAGACAUUUUUAUUUCAUAUGGAAACACAAGUAACUAAAUUCUCUAAGCGCUUCCAAAUUUGAAGCCUUAAGAAUAAUUUCCGAUGGCAAGAAUUUUGAUAGUAGUUCCGACAGUGUGAAAAACAAAUUAAAAGCGAAAGAAAGUAAUAAUGAAAAUAAGGGAGAUGUGGAUACUUGAGUGGGAUGAGGUGCUUGCUGAUCAUUUGGUUUACUGUGAAGAGAGGCACAUCUUUGCUUAGCCGAAGGAGGUUCAUCUUGAUUCAGCCGCCGGUGGUCUCCAUUUCGAACAUUAGCGCCGUUUGCCACUCUCUCUUUCUCUUCUUUUCCAUAUGCAUCCCUCCUAUAUCUCUUCGGGCUACAAUUCAAUACAAUACAAUGCAUCUAUUACAACACCCGCACAUCUUUCCAAACUCAAAUUGCAAAUUUAGAAUUAUUGAUUGGCUUAAACGCAUUAAAGAGCGAUAGGCAUUACUGCUAAACACUGCACAGCACAAAAUUAGAGAAAUAGACCAAACAAUUUAAGCAUUAAAAGAGUGAAGAGGAAGAAAGAGAAAUAGAAAAGUUGAGAAGAAAAGAGAGAGGAACCUGGGUUGUGGAUCGAAUCUGGAAUGGCGUCGCUUGGAAUCGGAGUGACGACGAGACAUUCUCAGAAGCGAGUGAGUGAACGAGUCUUAUGUCUUAGGUUUCUUUGAGCGACUCUUCUUUUCAAUCUUUUUUUUUAUGAAUAUUUAAUUUUAUUAAUUUAAUCAAUAUAUUUUAAAUUUCAAUUAAAAAACUUUCUAUAAUUUUAAAAUAAUUGAUAGCUCAUUAAUUGAUUUAUUAACGUUGUAUGUUGUUAAAAUAUUACAAGUUAAUUGUAAGAUUCCAUUAAAGAGACAUUUGUAAAGUUAAUUUUUUUUUUCCAAUGUUGAAAUGAUGUUUUGAAAAAAUAACCUCAUUUAUAAUUAUACUCAUACAUAGAUAUUAAUUAUCAUCCAUCGGAAUACACACUUGAGAUGUUGGAAUAAGUUAUUCUCGUGAAAAUUAAUGAAGUCUUUGGUAAUAUGAAGUGAGGCGAUUUUCUUUCAUGUUAUAUAUAUUUGUCUUAUAAGAAUAUUUCUAAUAUAACUGAUUAAGAGGGUUAAUUAAUGUUAAACAUCAUUGCUUAAAUUAUUUGUUUAUAUAAACAUAUUUGUUUAAAAGACAAUUAAAUAUGUUUUUAAUUUUUAAAUUUAUACAUAAAAUUAAAAUUUAUUUCUAUCUUAAAUUUUUAUACAUUUUUAAACUUUAAAACUGAAUAAAUAUAGAUCUUCUAGUUCGAUUGUAUUAGAUUUUUUUCAUGUAAAAUUUUAUAUCUAAAUUUAAAAACUAAAACAUAUUUAAUUUUAAAAAAAAACAAAAAAAAAAUUAUUGGAUCAAUAAGUAGAGACAAAACUAAAAAUAAGAAACAAAGUUCAUAUUCAAAUUCAAUUAAAACAACCAGAAUAAAAAAACCUAAAAAAUCUAUUAUAGUAAAAAUUUCAUGAAUGGUAUUUAAAUUCACGUGGCAUAAGAUUAAACUAUGUAAUAAUUACAAGACUCUAAAUAAUCAUAAUAUUUGUAUAUAAAUAUUGACCUUUUAAAAAAUAAUUAGGUAAAAGAAUUAUCUAUGAUUAAAUCUUAAUUUUUUGUAUAACCAAAAAAUUAUUCAUUUUCACUUCAUGGAUAACAAAUUUAUCCAUUUUGCUAAUGAUGGUAUCAAGAUACAAGAAUUUCCAAACAUGACAAUGCUACAUACGUGUGAACUUCUUUGUUCUUGUUUAUCGUGAAGAGAUUUUUUUUCAUCAUCAAAUAAAAUCACCUUCAAACAUGGAGACUAUUUUUUUGGGAUUUGUCAAACACAAAAUAGGUAUACUUAAAAACUUUAUACUCAGUAUUUAAAAACAAAUAGAAAAUUCAUCACACUUUUUUUUAUAAAAAAAAAAUGUAUCCAUCAUCUCUCUCCUUGAACUGUAUCAGAAAAUGUGUUGCCAAUAAACCAACUCCUGUUUGUCAGAGAGGCACCUUUUGAAAAACAACUUCUUUCUUGUCCAUUUAAGUCUCUUCAAUUCAACUUGGAGAUGGUGUAGUGUGAAAAAGAACUAUUUUACACAACCUAAAUUACAAGCUUUCCUACUACUGCCUAAGUUACAAGCAGAUGAAUUUUUAUUUUGUACACGUUACAAGGAAAAAAUAGCAUGUAUAUCAUACAAUAGAAGGCAAAAAUUUUGUUAUUCUGUACAUUAUAAUAAAUUUGACAGCUAUGAUUGAUUACUUUUUAACAAAAAAAGAAUCAAUGGGUGUAAAUUUGCCUUCUUUCUGCGACAACUUUUGCUUCUUAGAUUUGCUUUGUGUAGUGAUUCCAUCCUUUUGAGCCCGACUGAAAGAACAUUUGUCAAUACGGUACAUUAAAUAACACAUAAGCAAAAAUGUGAACACACGCUUGCACUCUGUCAAUUCCUAUCUAUCACCUUGCAAUUGUAAAAGGUAAAGCAAAUUGUAAAAGAUAAAUAUCGCACCUUCCACUAGGAACACAUGGUUGGUGAAUCCUAGAUUCUUCCUUUUGAAGCUUUUCAGCAAGAUGAAAAUCAGAGUGCUCCAAUCUUUCCUCAAUAAAACUUGGAGGUAGUUCUAUUCCACAAAGUGAACAUUUGUAGUCAUUCAGCCACAACAUUGUCGUCUCCUGAGAACAAGAAUUAAGUUCCAGGAGCUUAGAUUCAUUCAGCACAUUUAUGCCUUCAAACUGCUCCUGGAAAGAAGUAGAUCCCAGCGCUUCUGUAAAUCCACUGUGGUGAGAACUUGUAGCAUCCUUACUAGGUGUUUGUACCUGGUAACACAACAGAAAACAUAAAUAGAAGUGACAGGAGAACGCUCCUCAAAUCAUUUCUGAAUCCAUUUAAAUAUCUGCUACAAGUCUAAACAAGGGGGGAGAAAGAGAGAGACCUCUUCUAUACCAUCAUUUUUCUGGAGAACACAACUUUCGUAAUCUCCAUCUGACAAAUAGUUACCGACAAAAGGAUCUCUCCAAUCAAGUUGACUCGUCUGCUGAUUGCCAACGGAAAGAUUGGUUUUUGCAUCACCGACAAAGUCACCAUCUGCGACAUCUGGAAAAGAACUACAAUUUCUAUUGACAUCUCCCGAAGUAAUGAAGUUGGUAAUGGUCUUCUGUGUAGGAUCAGGCGUAGCACUACAUUUUUCUCCAUUAAACUGAGAUACUCUAAGGCCUAACAGAAGAAAAAUCUUUGUUACGCUGACACAGAUGAGGCACCAAUAUGAAUUCUCACAGUCUAUCUGUAAGCACUAAGUGCCUUUUUAUCUUGGCCUCGAGCACUGUCUUGAUAAAUCUCAACAAUAACAAACCUAACAGAAACACAUACCCAUCAAUCUUACUGAAAUAGGAAGUUCAGCUUUUAGCAACUUUUUAGCAUGCUUCAAGAUAUCCUCAGUUGAGCUGAUGUACUUUUGUAAAGUCACAGCUCUGGUCCGAACCUGUAGGUUGUGCAUUUAUUAGAACUUGAAAGAAAAGUAUAGUAGGACAGUAAAAUUUAUGGAUACAAUAAAGCAUCUAUAAAGGGACUAGAACAAUAUUCAAGAAGACAACAAAAUCAUCCUUGAGGUCAAGUUAAUUUCUCUUCAACAACAGGUGACCUUUUUUUCCAAUCAAUUUUCAUACACAGAGGUGACAAACCAACUAAGUUUCUCUCGACUACUAGGAAAAUAUCAAAGCAUUAAUAACUAGUAGUAAUACCUCAAAAGAAGCAGUUUUCAGUUUAAGAGUCAAAGUUCGCCCACACAGACCCUCUUUCUGCAUGUCAGCCGAUAGCAUUUCAGCAAGCUCCACUGCAAAAGUAAGCUUUGCAUGGUUCAUAUGCUGAUGAGUCAAUAUACCCAAUGUCCUAUCUAAUUCAAAAACUCAGCAUGACAUAGCUAAACUUUUUGAAAAGUCAAGUAGGUGUAGUAAAUUUAGGGCUGCAAUCCAAAUCAAUUGAAACCCAGAUAUCAGUUUCAAUAAAGAGGUACUACAAAGCCCAAAUAAUUCACUAGAGUUUACGUUGACUACAUUUACAAUCAAACAAUUUUCCUUUAAAGGUUAAACAGUAAUAGGCAAGAUGGAUACCUAACUUUUUAUGCAAUAACACCUCAUCUUCAGUGGCAGAAAAUGUUCUUUCAUUACUAAUACUUUUCCGAGAUCUUACUUGGGGAGAAUCUGUUUGCCCAAGACCUAAACCUACAGAGCAAAAAAAUUCUGCAGCAAAUUGACAAAAAGAAACAUGUUAUUAAAGAAUCCCAUAAUUAAUUUGGAACGGGACAUAUGAUCAACACAAGAAACAAUGGCCAGAAACCCUAAAUUACAAACUUGCCAAAAAUAGUAGCAGUAGAAAGCAUAACUUGUUUUCAGAAUAGACAUCAAAAUACAAAAUAAAUAACUUGUUUUAAGUUCAGCUGAAUUUCCACGUAAAUAUAGAAAAUCUUCAGGGAGUAAACACAACUUGCACAGUAAUAACGAGAGCAACAACACCUGAACAGAUGGCUAACCUGCUGUUGACUGAGAGAAAAGUGCAUAAAGGUAGCUACUCUUCUCGAGUAUCUGCUCACAUGUGUUAAUUUCAAAAACUCCCUUUAAAAUAUGUUCUGUGACCUUACCAAUGCCCCCAAUCUGUCAAUACCAUUCAUGAUUAUCAAUCACAAAGCAACCUCUUUUAAAGACAGGCAAGGGCAUAUAAACUCAAGCACACCUUUCUGAUAGGAAGGGAGGAUACAAAGGUCAUAACAGCCAUGCGGUCAUUUGGCAAAACAUACUGUCCAUUUGGCUUGUUUAUGUCUGAACAAACCUACACGAGACUAAAUGUCAAUAUUGUAAUGUAAUAGCAUGAAAUUUCCCAAGCAGAUAAAAUAAUCAUUUCAUCUCUACUACUUUACAGUUUAUCAAGAAAAUACGAGUUAGAAAGAACCUUGGCAAGUAAGCGAUUUGGUGCCACUCCAGCACUGCAUGUGAGACCGGUCUCUUCAUAAACACCAGCUCUGAGUUCUUGGGCAAUCUACGUCCAAAUUCACAAAAUCAAGAGAUUAAUACAUUAAAGGUCUUUCAUUGUUAAUUUAAUUGUGCCAACUUACUUCUUCACCUUUGACAUUCCUUUCUUUGAUAACUUCAGUUAUAUCAAGGUAUGCUUCGUCAAGGCUACCAGCAAUGAAAUUGGGGUCGUAUAUCCGGAAAACUAACAAUAAUAAGUUUAUAUCAAGCUGGCAUCAAUAAUUAAAAGAAAAAGUUACCAAAUUAAUCACAAAAAGAAUAAUACCUUUUCUAGUCAAAUCACUAUAGUAAGUAUACUUCUUGAAAUCUGUUGGGACAAAGAUUAAUUCUGGACAUAGCUUACGUGCAAUGAACCCAGGCAUGGCAGCACGAACCCCAAAUUUUCGGGCCUGGGUAAAGACCAGAUCAGAAUCAGAAAUUCCACAAUUCAGUGGAGUUCAUGCAGAUUAAUUUUUCAAACAUCCACCAGAUCAUUUCAGAUUCCAAAAUAGUGAAGAAAAAAAAAUAUAUCAAGAUUAUAAUGCAUUGAGAAAGUAAACCUCAUAGUUGGCAGUGGAUAUCAUGGACAUGCUCCCAACAGCCAUUGGCUUGCCCUGUAAUGUAGGAUUACUUAAAGUCUCCACAGCAGCAUAGAAAGCAUCCAUAUCUACAUGUAACCAAAUCCUCGAAAGGUCACGCGAAGCUUCUAGCUCAACAAUUCUUCUAUCAGCCACCUGUCACAAUAAAAACUGAUACAUUAAACUAAUGUGUUAAAAGCAUUAAAAUUUAAUGACCUCUCUCCUUUAAAGAAAGGGAACCAACAAAAUGGGAAUUUGUUAGAAAGAAGAGAAUCGGGUUACAACCGUGAGAUGAUUUCAUCAUAUUACCUUGCGAUAGUGGGCCAGGUCUGCUUGUGCGAGCUUAGCACACUGAAUUCGCAAGUUCUGAAUUUUCUGGUUAAUAAAAGCCUCCUUGCGUUCCUCGUUUUGAAAAUAUUUGGAUCCUUUACUCAUUUCGUAAACUACUCUCUGAACUUUCUCCUUGUCAACCCCUUCCAUUCCUUAACAAUAGGCAAUAGCAGAGCAAUAGAAUCCAUUUAAUUCAAAGGUGAAAUUCAGAGAAACAAGAGCGAAAUAAGUGUUUGUGAAAGUGAAUUGAAGAGAAGAAUGAGACCUGCUUUAGCGGUUGUGUAAACAGUGUGGUAAGAUUGCCAUGGACGAUCGCUACCAUCUCCGUCGCCGUCACCCUUCGCUACGGCUUCGGUUCCCUCCAUCGCCUUCCACUUCGCGCUCACUUCUCCCUGAACUUAUAUUGGGCUUUUGCAUCAAUUAAUUAAUAAGCCAUCUUUGAUCCUACUGAAAACACAUGAAUAUCAAUAAGUAAAUAAUACAGUAUGUUCCAUAAUUUUAUUUUAUUAACUUUUACUAUAAUUCUUUUUAGCAAAAUUUAGAAAUAUAUACAUAUAGGUGUUUAAUUUGUCUAAUACACCGAAUUUGAGUACAUAAGCAUCAAUAAAAGUUCUGGUGGUUGAAAUAAUGAAAUUGUAUGAAAUUCGACGUUCAUUUGCAAAAUGAAAUUGACUCUACCAACCAUCUAUGAUACAAAUUUCAUACAAUCUACAUCUAGAUGACAUUUUAAAGUUGUGAUGAAAUUUAUAAUAUAUGGUAUAAAUUAAUGUCACCGUGAAUUGAACACUAAUUUAAAACACUUAUCAAGUUAAAUUAUAUUAAUUUAAUUUAAAAUAGUUUAAUACUGACUCGACUAUCACUUGUAAGAAAUGUCAAAUAGGAGUGUUGUUGUGUUUUGAAGAUAUAUACGAUAAAUAGAAUUUAUGUAAUGAAGUUGAAAAGGUUUGUAAUAUACAAUUUGAUUUACUUAAUUAUAUAGUUGAUAAAAACUAGCAUGUACAACUUAUUAGAGUGAAUAUUUAAUUUGAACUUUAAAAAUUUGAGAUGUUGGUUGAUUGGUCACUAAGUAAUUGUCACGAAAAAUGGGUUUAUGAAUUUUUAGGUUUUUUAAUUUGAAAACCUAGUGCAGAAAAAGUAUACUUCAAGGAAAAAAUUGAUUUUUUGCAUAACAUGUUUUUUUUUAAACAGUUAGUUUUGUGAUUCUGAAUUUGAGUUCAGAAAUAAUCAUCCUAACUUAAUUUCUCUUUAAGAGAAAGGUUAUACUAGAAUAAAAUGAUAAAAAUAUAAUAAGCAAACGAAAAUAAUACUUAUCUAUCAUCUCACGUUCUCCAAAUGCAGAAGGAUAAUGCAACUACGUCUUAAAACUACCUAAGUUUUUAUAUUGACUUUCAUAUUGAUUUGAAUUGAACUUCUCAAUGAUUUUAAUCCUGAGAAUCUUCUAAUAUGAAAUAUCUCCAAGUCUAAUAGAAUUUUCUUCUUGCGGACGGAACCAGGUUAAACUCAACACAAGAUACGUUAAUAAAUUACAAUCUUUAAAAGCAUCGCAUACUAACAUGAACACAAUAUAAUAAAAUAAAUACCGUCAUAGAAACCAUUAGUGAAAUAGUCAUACUAACAUGAACACAAUAUAAUAAAAUAAAUACCGUCAUAGAAAACAUUAGUGAAAUAGUCGCAAAACAAUUGGCAUGCAACUGCAAGGAAGAACUGCAGGUGCAUAAGAGUUAUAAACACAACAUGUUUCAUGACCCUGCUGGAUCAAAGCAGGACAACGGGCUUCAACUACCAGCCGAAUAUACAAAGCACUUAAGAUGACUUAUACUGUCACACAAGGAGCGUUUCAUAGAACUUCUAUACCAGGAACGAAUACUAUCUUGGUUUGUAAGUCCCUCAAAGUCUGAGCAGAAAAAAUCAGAAGCUCAACCAUUUCAAGCCCUGCAGCAGAAACAGUAUCCAUCUUUUCAUCACUGCCUUCGUGAUCUCCCCUGUCAGUGCCCAUGCUGUAUCCAAUGUAACUAAUAUCUGCCUCAACAGGCCAGCUGGUUGGCAAGGAGCUGCCAAGAGCAGUUCUUAAAAGUUCUGCUUCAUGAAUAACGUCACUGAGGAUUUCUGAAACACCGGAAAUUGUACCUUCCGAAGUCACACAAUCCUUGGCCUAAAAACCAUGUCAAUACAUUUUAGCUUUCAAGUUUCAAAAAGUAAACAGGGUAUGGUUUCUGGUUAAUCCAUGUUAAUAAAGAGCUUAAGUUAAACAAUUUCCCUUUUUGACCUAAAACAUUGCAUUCUCAACAUGAAGCUCCCUUUUUCCCUGGUCUCUUUCAAAUAUCAAAAUUUCAACAGUUGUCAAAUAAAACAGUAUGAUACCUUUGAAAGAGAGAGACGAAGCCGAUGAAUUGAUGAAGUUAAAUGUUCCAUGCUUUCCAUGCUUUCCUUAAGAGUUGCAUUUUCAAUCUUCAUUCUGCUACACAGAAGUAAACUACGUAAAUAAACAGAAGGCUGAAAAGUAACACCAUACGUAAUGCUAUCUCAAAAUAGAUAUGACAUUGACAUGGUUUAAAGUUUAAACUAUCCAGAACCCGAAGGGAUUAAUUUUAGUGCAGUAAGGUACAAUCUUGUGUUUGAAAAACCAAAGUCUAAGACCCUACUCAUCUCCUUGGGGUGAAUGAAAUGUAAGUCCCCUGAAGUAUUUUGAAAUGAAAAGCUUUUUGUAAUUGUACCUUGGACUGAGGGUAUCAUCCCUCUACCAUAAAAUUUUACUUACCCAAAACCGGUAAGUCAAGCCACAAUCAUCCAUUAAUGGAAUAGAAUCAAAACACACAAAUUCCGAAAUUUACACAUGCCUUGCAAAAUCUAUACUGCCGCUGGAUUGAUGAUUGAAAGUUUUCCCUUCAUUAUUUGAACUACUGUCAACUUCAUUUACACUAACAUUCAGGGGGGCAAUCCAUCGUCUCAAAUAGGAUUUCUUUAAUAAAUUCUUUAAAGUUCCAUCUCUUUCACGAGUAACAAGCUUUCUGUCUCCAGUGUUGACCACACCUUUCUCUUGAUUAGGUUCAUCACCCAAUUUUCUGCACAUGCAAUAGGACGAAAUUAAAAAAAUGACAUUCCACAUUAAAGGAGAAUUUUUUGAAGUAGCAGGAAAACGAAACACAACUAGAGUGGGAUAAAAUUCAACUGAGAAUUGCUUGUAAAACAAUAAAAGUAGUAAAGCAUAAAAGUAAGAUUAAAGGAAGACAUAGCUGAACUAUGAUUGUUGCAUAAAUAUAUUCUAUUACUCUGUUCGCAUGCAAUACAAUAAAUCUAUUUUUUAUAAAAUUAUCAAGACUGAAAAGAAACACCAACAGCGUGUCAGAAGAGAGAAGUAGGGUAUAUGAAGGGCAAUCAAAGCCAAUUAGACUCAUGAAGACUUUGUAAUUUCUAUAGAAUAAGGUGGUGGUUGCUAUUGUGGUUUAAAGUAAUAAGUUUCAGGGAAAUGAAAAAUAAAGCACGGCUUUGAGCUUCAUACUUCAGUAUCAUAAAGAUAACUAGUGUUACUUUAAAACCCGAAAAAUGAAAAUAGUAUACUGGUUUUGCAUAUAAGCUCUUCGCAUGAUGUCCAGUUUCUAAGACUGAAGAGUUGAAGACAAUCAAAUUCAUUUACUUGUGUAGUAUUUUGCGCAACUUUUUUGUUAGUCUCCUUUCAUUAAAUGGAGAAGCCGAGACAUAAUUUUUACCAAUGAACAAAAGGCCCAAUAAUAGAACUUUUACAGAAAUUAAUUAGAGGAAUUUUAAAGAAUUGGGAAAGUACAAAAAAGGGUAAGUCAAAUACUACCUUAUAAGAUACACGUACGAAAAAUAGUAUAGACAGCAAAUCAUAUUAGUGAAACUUUAUCCUUUAAAAUAGUAAAAUAACACAACAACCAGAAGUAUAAGAAUACUAUUUACUCUGCAAUGGACAUUUCUAUUCGAGAAAACAGGAAAUAUGCUUUCGAAAAAAUUCACUACAAAAUAACAGGGCAACCGUGUAAAAAUAUACAGUGAUGCAAAAAUUAUUAAAUUAGCAACUGUCAUCAUUAAAGUAAUCAUACUCCAAAAGUAAUUGAUACUCCUGCUUCAAUUGAGCCAAUUCCAUGAGAGCUUUCACCUUUUCAUUAGUAACCUGAAGUUAAGAAAAACAAAAAAAAAAAAUCCAAGUAAAAAGCUAUUUGUGAACAGUAAAUAAUAUCAACGAUCUUUGUACACGUGAUUCUAAAUUUUAUUGCUUCGAGUUAGAGGCGCAAAAGUUAUUUCUAACAUACUAUUUACAUAUCUUGAAGGGGAACAAAACAUAGCUUCAUUGAUGAAAACUAUGAAUAAAAAAUUACAAAAAAAGAAAAGAAAAGAAUAUAGUAACCAAUAAUCCCUGGAUGAAUUUAAGUUGGCUUAGGAAAGGCAAUCUAAAUUCUGGCAGGAUAAGGCACGCAUUGACUGGUUCAAUGAUGGUGAUAGAGGCACUAGUAUUUUCCAUGCAAUUUUUAAAACAAGAAGGACUUCUACCAUAUUUCUAAACUGAUUAAUUCAGAAAAUAUUUUCAAUAGUAAACAACAAAUUGAGACUCAUGUUUUGAAUUAUUGUUCUAAUCUUUUUGAUGCUUCUAAUGAUCAUAAUCUGAUGAAUGUGCAUAAAUUUGUCAUGCGUUUGAGAACCCAAAAGUUGUUCCACGGAAGCUGAAGACCCGUUGGCAAAAAGCUCUAAUCAUUUGCAGAGCUUUGGAGUUUAGGUUUUCUCAUAUAUUUUCGCUGAGGAAUAAGAGAGUUGAUGCGUUUGCUGACUUUGGUGUGAAUAAUAGACUUGAUUUCUUUUGGUUUGACAAUUUACCUUCUCACAUUAGACUUGGUUUCUUUCAAAAUCACCUAAGCCUCCCCAAAAUUCAGGUUUUGUUAGUUGCUUGGAGGUGGUUUUUUUUUUUCUUGCAUGGGUUUUGGCCUAGUCUCCUCAUGCUUUUGUAUGUUCUUUCUUUUAUGAUGGCUCAUAUAUUGGCAAAUAAUCGAUGGAACUUUAAGGUGACAAACUAGUUGGGAUGUUAAAGUUUCAUAAUGACACCAAACAUGGUCUAUAAAUGGAUAAAAAAUAAAAAACUAAUGAUUGGGAAUUCUACAUUGACUAAAAGUAAGACCGAAUUAUAUAUAUGGUACACUUUGCACGACCAUAAACCAUUUUGUAGACUCUACUAGAACCAAGAUACUGGAAUAUCAGUAAUUGCAGUGUUCCAAAGUGUUACAGACAAGUACCUGCAUCAAGUUCCUCUGAAGUUCUUCAGUUUUACCUUGUAGGGCUGAAUUCACAUUUCUCUCCAGUAGAUGUCUUUCUUCCUGCUGUGAUAAAAGCAAUAAUGCAUCGACCUGAAAUAUAAAGCACAAAUAUCAGAGAGCAAGAUCGCAAGAAGUUGGAAGCACAAAUAUCUUGGUUAGAGAAGAGAAAAUGAGAAAGUAAAUACACAAUAGUUUUAAUAAACGUGAAGAUGAAAAAAAUACCUUCUCUUGCAAUGCCAUUGCUAAAACAUUAGAUGCAUCACCUUCUAAGCCAGCACCCACUGACAGUGCCCUAGGACUGUUCCUCUGUGAAAGAGUAAAUAAAAGAUUAAUAAAUACCUAGUCUUGCAUCUUGUAACUAUCAACAAAUAUCAAUAAAAUGAAGACAGACUGUAAACUCGACCAAGUUAAGAUAUAUCCGUUGCUACUUUAAUAAGAGCACUGCUAUCCAUUGUUAUCCGAUCAUAAUUAACACAUUUAAAUUUAAAAAUAAAAACGAAUGAACUUCUUUAUUAUAUUAAAAAACAGUUUAUCUUACUGAUAGAAUACAUUGUAAAAGCUGUAGGAAAACCCACUGCAUUCUUUGUUAUAAGGCUGGCUUGUUUUCAGAUUGGAUGUAAUCAGGUGAGCAUGACAGUAUUACAUCUGCCCGUAUCACUUAAACAUGUUUGGGCUGGUCACAUUGCCAUUGAAGGUGACUAGCCCAAUUUCGGCUUGACAAUUACUGAACUGAUUGAAAAACUCAUUUUCUUAGGAUGUUAUGUCAUUCUUCUCCCUCUACAUCUCUUCUUUUUAGUCCACUGUUUUAAUUUGUAAUUGUGUUUAAUACUAUCAUAUUUUUAAUUCUCAACCAUGUAAUUAUCCAAGAAAAGUAUGCUACAGUAAGUCUGUAACUUAAGAUUAUAAAAUAAAUCGUACUCCUUUACUACGCUAUGCUUUAUCUAUAGUUCUACAAGUAUCGUAUUUCUACAAGUGCAUUGUUUGCUAUAGACAAAAAUGAGUUGUCCUUUUGUAAAAGGGAUUCAGUAUUAGCAUGGAGUUUCAAACCUCGUAAUCAGAGAUGGGUUUAGCUUGAGGGCUUAUAUGUAUACCAACACCUUCAGAUUCUUCUAGUUCCGCAUCUCUUUGAAGGGUCAAAUUUGGUACGGUACUCAGAUCAAAACUCCGGAUUUUUUCAUCAAUUACAUUGGUUAUAGAUUUAAUAAUGGAUUCUCCAUCACCAAGUAAGUUCAUAAUUUCAUCCCUACACUCAGAAUGAUAACUUUUCAAGUCUGCUAUGCCGUUCUGAACCAAUUUGUCCAUAGAAAUCUGCAAAUAAGUCAUCAGAAUCCAGAAUAAACAUAUGUAUUAAAUGACAUUUCGGUUCCAAAUUUUGAAAGUACUCACUUGUUUCUUCUCCAGUACGUUGACUCUCUUCUUCAAGUGAUUUUCAAUUUCCAAGCCCUAAAGCAUCCAAAACAGAAUAAGAAUAACUGAUAAUUGAAAAUUAGGGUUACCUAGGUAGCAAUAAGCUGAUAACAAAGAUAUUUAGAUCAUACCACCCUCAGUUUAUUUUGAAGAUAAUCCAUGGAAUUCCUAAGUCUCUCCAGAUGUUCUUCUAAUGCACUCUGUCUGAGAAAGUGUUAUUCACAAUAUGAACAGAGUAUAUAAUCUCAUUACAGUAAUCUCCUAUUUAACAACAGUCAUCUGUUAUCUCAUAAGUAAAUAGCAUGCCAAAUAAAACCACGUUCCAAAGGAUGUGGUGAGUUAUAGCAAGUCGUGCUGGAUAGCAUGCUGAACAACCACCAUAACAUGAGGAACACAUCAUCUGAUAAUCAAGGAAAGAGAAUAUAAGGGUUUUUGAAAUCUUACAACGUAUUUAGAGGUGGAAGGAUCAUUGAAACUCCAAGCCUCCUCAGGGUCACCCAAAAGACAUGCACAUUUCUCAUCCCAACUUGUAUCUUCAAAUUCCUUCACAGAAGGUUGCCUGAUCUGAAAGAACUUAUUAAUUACCUGAAAUUCAUAAAAACAUACAGAGAGAGAACCAAAAGUUGAGUCAUGUAUUUAAGAUCCAUUAAAUGCCAAAACAAAUAUGUUAUUAUAAAUUGCAUAUUGAAGAACUUGAUAGGAUAUAUGCAGGAUAACUCUUUUUCAAGUAUUAGUUUUGUAUCCUAAGAAACCAUUGGAUAAGCUUUGUACUGACUAACAAAGGAAAUAAAAACGAAAGAUAGAGUCACAGAGGAGGGAGAACGAGAACACUACUUUCUUGAAGUUUUCAUUUUGUUUCAUAUGCACUGCUUGAUCAAUCUGUAGAGCAUCAUUAAACUCCUUUAGUUUAAGGCAAUCUGCGGUGAGCUCCUCUACCCUGUGUUAAAGAUAGGUUGCAAGUAAAAUAAAAAUUGUUUUCCCACGUAAACAUAUCCAACAUGUCAUAGAAAACAAGAUCAUACAGAACAGAGGUAUAGGUAAUCGUAUAAUAGGCACAUAAGUUUUAAUCUUUCAGUCUUGCUUAGUAAAUUACCUUACAGAAAAUAAGGCCCUCCAUAUAAAGAGAACAGACACACUAGCAACUUGCAAGACAGUUUCAACUGAAAUAAAUGUAGACUAUAUGAAAAUACAACAUCCCAAAUUUGCCAUGUAAGAUGAAUAAAUCAUUUAAAAUGGAAAACCAUAUGUGAGAAAAAGUAAAACAUGUCUCUUCUGUUAACCAUAGUUGUUAUAAUUCUUGGGUGGAUCUCAAUAUGUUACACCAAACAUAAUCAAGCAACAAGUGCAUCAUGUCAUCAUCAUCGUCUAUUUACAUAAAAUAAAAGCAGGAUCUUUUCUCAUACCUCCUAAGCCACCUAUCUUUAUUAAUAUGUAGGCACUAAAAUGACACAAAGAUUGAGAUACCUCUGGUGGAAGCCAUGUAUUUGUUGGAACAUUGUCUCCUCCUUUUCUUUGGCCUUUUCAGCCUGUUAAUAUAAAGGAAUUUUGAAAUUAACAACCACAAAAACCUACAAAGUACUGAAAACGAUAUUCUUUAGGAAAACAGACAAUAUUGUGACCUCAAUUAUUGCUUGAUCCCUUUCAGCGAAAGCAGUAGCCAUACAACCUUGGAAAAAUUUUACCUGCUUCUCAGCUUCCAUGUUCUGGACAUUAAAUUUGAAGUCAUUAGUAACAGUAUUCCUCAUGAACAACUCAGUCAAAGUACAAACCAAAAACCAUCCACCUCACAAGUCACAUCAGUCAAAAUAUGUUAACUCUUUCAAGAAACUAUAGCAUGAUCACAACAAACUAUAGCUUGCCGUCAUGUUCUCACCAUAAUCCCUUAUAAGACUUUCAACUAAGUGUAAAAAAAAUUCAGACAAAUAAAAGUAAUCAGUUUGUAAUUUUGUAUCCAGCAACUCUACACAAGGCUAAAGCUGGACAGCAAUUCCUAAUGCAAUCUCAGAACUACAGUGUAAAACAAUGAAGAGCAACAGGUGAGGAGAAAGAGAGACCUUUGAAACCUCAGCGCUGUGCAGAUCAGCAAGUUGACCCUGAAUAUAGUAAAGUAAAUAUGUAAACAAAAUACAAGGAAUUUUACGCCACAAAGUCAAAAUAUUCAAUAACUCACUUUAAUUCUGUAUGCCUCAGAAAGCUCCUCUUCCAGAUUUAGAUUGUCUCUUGAGCAAGCCGCCAACUUCUUUUUCAAACUCUCAAUCUCCUGCUCCAAUCCAGCUGUCCUAAUUGGGCACAGAGUUGAAUAUAAUAGAUACUCUUUAUUGGCAUUAAGACAACAUGACAACAUGUACUCAUUGUAUGUAGAUUGCCUUAAGAAUAGGAAAAUAAACAGAUACCUUUGAAAAUGCAUUCGGGUAGCUACAGCAAGAUAUCCAGGCCCAGCUUGCUGCAUGCAUAACUGUUCGAUAUCCUUGUGUAAUUCAUCACGCUCUACAAAAUUAUAUACUUUGUAGGUUCAAUGACUAUAAUAAGUGACUUCAAUACCAGAUAAAACUUUACAGGAGACAACAGUUUAAUCAAAUCAACAUCAGUCUAGUGUUCUUACUAAACCUAAAACGACCCUUGUAAGAGAGUUAAAGUAACAUGUACAAGUAAAAAUGCACAUACCCCUUUCCAGUUGUUCUAUGCGAGCCAACAAUGGUUCGUCAUCUGAACUCUCUGCCAUUCUGGGGGAAAAAUCAUUAAAUCAACAAAAUUGAAAGCUCAAUUACUGUCAAAGCCAGAGCUCGAAGUUCAUACCAUCGAAUAAAGCGCAAAAGAUUCACAGAGAGAAUAAGACAAAUUCGAAGCACUAAGAUUGCAGUUGAAAAAGCUAACCCCACUAAGCCUUUUAUACUCAAAUGAAGAACUAGUGAGUUUGUACAAUGCUUCCAAUUGCGUGUCGUUUAAGUCGAAAAGUGAAUGAACAAAAACACCAAAAUUUUACCACGCAAUCAUAUGAGGGUGACGGAUCCUAUACUAAAAAGAAUGCACCAAAGAAAGAGUUCUAUUUGUUGAAAAUUCUGCAAAUUACUCCAUAAGAAGGGUAAAAAAAGGCCCAAAAACCAGGUGUGAGUGUCAAUACAUGAAUUGAGUUAAUUUCCUCCGAAAACAGAAAUCUAAUGAAGAAGCACAAUCCUUGUACUCCCAAUCCCAACAAACAAAACCAACCUUAUUGUACAAAAUCAAUACCAAAUAGUAGUAACAAAAUAAUAUAUACAAGGAUAAUAAUAAAACUAAAGGUAUGAAUGAUGAGAGCAUGGAGAUGACCUGGAAUUGAAAAGGCGAGAAAAUUUUUGAAACAAAGGGUCUUCAAAUCGCCGAUAAAGCUCCGCGACUUCGAAUGGUUUCUGAAAUUCUACCAACUUCGAUGAAAGGUUUUAAAAAUGGGAAAAGGAUUAGUGACUAAACCGUUUAAAAUAAUCUUAUUCUAUUUUAUUUUAUUUACAAACUUGUUUACUGGAAACUCAAGAAAAGAGCAAUCACGCCACUCUUUUCUGUUUCCACAGUAAACUUUUUCUUCUUUUCUUUCGGUAAAAACUGAAAAUUUAUACAGUGGAAUGAUUUAAAGAACUUGCAAAAUCUUUAAAAUUGAAGAUGUAUUUUCUUUUCCUGUUUCCUACAAAAAUGAUUGCAAACCAAGUGCUGAGAAUUUUUUUAGUUUUAUUUUUAGCUCAUUUAACAAUAAUAUAGAUUCAUAUUUCAAUGUAUAUAUAUUAAAGAAUAUAACAUAAUUUUCAUGAGAUAAACUGUAAUAUUUAUUUAAAAUUAAUAGUAAUAAUAAUACUUUUUCAUAUAAAUGUUUCGUUUAUGGCUUAUAAAUGUUAAUCUGAUGAGUUAUAAUUUAAAUAUACAUACUUCUCACUUAAAUUCUCGGUUCAUGUAUAUUACAUAAAUCUUGAUAAAAAGAAGUCAAGAACGUGUUAUUUAACACAUCUUUUAAUAAUAUUUUUAACCACUAAUUAAAAUGCAUGAAAGAUUAUUUGUUUAUUUAGUUGCAUGACUUAUUUAAUAAGUUUUGUGCACGUAGUUUUAUAGUUUACGAUAAAUUUCAACCAAUAUUAGAAGAUUGUAUAUUAAAAUUUGUUUUAAUUGUAUAUUUUUAACACUUUUUCUUAAGUGAGCUAUUAAUCAAUUAAUAUAUAAUCAAAUUAAAUAGUACUUGUAGUUAACAAAAAAAAAAAAAAAGUCGCAUAAGAAAUAAGUAUCAGUUUCGAUUGCUAUACUAAUUAGUCAAUGAAAGCAUGUUUUAAUAUAGGAUUAUUAGAAUCUUAUUCAACUAAAAAUUCAAUUUUAUUUAGAUAAGAGUUGUAAAAAUAUUCACCUUAAUAAAUAGUAAUAAUUUUCUUUUAUUAAUAAUAAUAAUAAUAAUAAUAAAUUUUGGUAUGAAUAGAAACGUUAUUAAUGAAUUUAUGUUAUAAGUUAAGAAAAAAGUUGUGUUAGAUGGUAACUAGUAAAAACAUAUUAAAUAGUUUUUCAUAUUAAGUAAAAGCAUUCAUUCACAAGUUUUUAUGACUUUAUAUUUAUCUUUAAAAGCACUUCGACAAUUUAAUAAAUGUUAAAAUUCCAACAUUGACUAGAAAUAAAGUCAAUUUAUAAUUAAGAUGCAAAUUUCACUUUACAAGCUUUACAAACCGAUUUUGUAAGAUUGAAUUAGACUUUAAAACUCAGAUUCUAAACUUAUUACCAAUUUAGACUGUAAGCUUAUCCAAGACAACAAUUUAUGAUUAAUGUAUCUUGGAAAGUGAAAUUUAUUGAAAACAUAAAUAAUGAAUGUAAAUCAGAAAAAACAAGUCUUGUUGUAUUUGCAACAACAUAAAGAAUCAUACACUUUUACUUUUGACAUGACUCGAGACAACAUAAUUGAAGUCAUUUUAGUGCAUUCGUUUUUCAAUCUCUUGUUGUUUAUGGUUUAAUGGUAUGGGGAGAAGGAGCAUCAAUGUGUAACUUUCUUAGCAAUAAAAGCAAGUGAAUGAAGCAGUUUGAGGUUUGGAAGCAAGUAACAGUUCAUAUUAUUUAACAAAAAUAAUAAAAAAAUCAACAAGGGAUAAUGUAAAGUAAAGAAAAGAGAGAGAAAAGAGACACAAAUUUGAUCGAGUUCAAUGCUGAAACACACUUCAUCGAGUUUCCAGUUUGUGCAAAGCAAAUGUCAUCUCAGAAGCACGCAUCCAAUAGGCAACAGCAGCAGAGAGCAGCCAAACUGUAUAAUUCACAAAUUCCAAAAAAUCAAUAUCAUGCAGUGCCAUGGCAUGCGUCUAUUUCUCACUCAUAAACAUGAAAAAGAUCAAGAGUAAUAUAAAACAUGUAAAAUUCAAAUCCCAUAAUUCAAAAUUUGUUAUGCCAAUGUUAUGUAAUGUAACGUUAUGUGUGCAAAAACAUAGUAUUCCUUUAUUCAAACAAUGGGUCUACGCAAAAAACAAACCCAGUAGGAGCAGACACAACAAUUCGGAGUCUCCAAGAAAAGAAUGUAAAUCAGUUACGAAUAGAGCGCAAAACAGCUAAUUAUGUCUAAUGUUGAGCCGACAACGGUCACCGAGUCAACUCGGAAAGAGCCGGAUCGGAUCUGACUCAGCAAUCGAAAUUAGAGAGAGAGAGAGAAAGACGCACCAGCCUUCCAAGCAACCAGAGUUCUGUGAAUUUUGUUGCUGCGGGGGCGGAGGCGGAGCGUAUUGAGGAGCGUAGGGCGGCGGAGGAUAGCCCUGGGCGGGGUAAGGCGGCGGAGGAUAGCCAUGCUGUGGGGGAUAUCCGGGAGGCGGGUAUCCGGGUGGCGGGUAUCCAGGAGGCGGGUAUCCGGGCGGUGGAUAUCCUUCCUUUCCUUGUCCCUCCGGCGGAUAACCUGAGAAAGGAAAGAAUGAGAAUGAGAAUGAGAAUGUGAAUUAGAAAGUGGGAAUGAAUAUAGAAGGAAGGAAUCGGAACCUUGCGGUGGUGGAACUCCGACGGGUGAUUGCUGAUGCGGAUUAUAAUAACUCAUUGGGUUGUGGUGUGAUCGAAGAUGAAUGAACAAAAUGAAUGAAUGAAUCAGAGAAUAAGAAUUUGGAUAUAUCUACACACACCCAACAAAUUAAUUCUUAUUUCUUCACUUUAUAUUUUACACUCUGUCCAACACCUCAGCACAGCAAAUCACUCUUUGUUUUUUUCCAUAUAUAUAAAAUUAAAUUUUUAUCCUAAUUAUACAUAUUUCAUAUUAUGAUAAAAGAAAUAUAAACCAAGUUAAAAGUACAAGAAAUAAUAAUAAAUUAAAUAAAAAUAAAAAAUAAAGAAAAAAUAUUCAAUAUGGUAGAAAUAUAUAUAAUAAUGAUCAUAUGUAUAUUUUGAUAUAAUUUGUUAAGAUAGUAAAACAAAAAGAUAAAAUUUAUAAACAUACUCUAUUAUAUAUAUCUUUCAAUAGUCUUGUGUUUUUAAUUAGUUUAUCUAUCGUUUAUACCUGUGUUCAUUUUUCUCGCUUGAGUAAUGUACUAGGGACCACCGACCGGUCAUGGUCAAUGCCGGAAAGAAGACCCAUGCUAUCCGACAUUAUCUGAUAUAGGCAAAGCCGGCGGUAGAAAAAGGAUCCCCCGAACGAGCCCGACCGCUAGCGCCCAAGCUUUCGUGCCAAUCCGCUUUCCGCCGUUACUAACAGCUAAAGAUUACCGGCCGGUUACACAAUGACCGGACGGUCAGAUACAAAAUCCACCCGUAGAAUGAGACUUAAGGAGGGGCACACGGUCGGCACAAUGACCGGACGGUCACGAUCAACAAGGUUAAGGUAAGUGUGGAAAGAUUAGCAUAAUCCAGUGUUUUAGAUGGCUGGGCCACAAUUGGGCCUUAAUUAAGGUAAUCUUAAUACCAGGCCCAUGUCUACCACUAUAAAUACAAGUCAAAGGUCACAGGUAGGUGGUUCAUUGAUUGCGCAUUUAAUUCUGACUUAAGAUACCCGAUCGGAUAACCAAACUGACUUAAGCAUCGGAGUGCCUUUAGCAGGUACCCUCCGGGAGUUUGAAGCAGGGGAGCGCGCGAGAGAAGUCGGACAGGAGGUGGAGUAGAGAAAAUUGGGUAGGUGACGUGUAUCUCGGCCCAAUACCGGAACAUUUUGGCGCCCACCGUGGGGCCGAGAGUCUAAGCCCAAUGGUGACCACGAGGAAUACGACCGUUGAGGACCCGGCGGAGGCGAUCAGAGCAUUGCGACAGCAGAUGGAGGAUAUGAGGCGGCAGCACGAGCAAGAACUAUCGGCGGUUAGAGAGGAGUGUGCUGCUCGGAUCGCCCAAGAACGGGAGAUCAGGGAGAGGAGUAAGGAUCUGUCAGAACGUCGGCAGGAGGAUGAGCUCAGAAAGUCGAAUGCUCGGGAGGGGGCGGCCGAACACAGUAGUGCCUCGGAUAGAACUUGGAGGUUGGAGGAUACGGAGUUAGACGGGAGUCAGGCGAGGACGGAGAGGAUAACCGCCACCGUUAGCACGGUACCGGUAGGGAGAACGCCGCUAGUGAAGGAGGAAGAGGUAAUCGAAGGAUUGCCAUUCACCCGGUCCAUCAUGGACGUCCAUAUUUCAGAGCACUUUGUGCCUCCUCAACUCAGUAUAUAUGAUGGUACAACUGAUCCUGACGAUCAUAUUCAAGCCUUCUCCACCCGGAUGGCGUUCCGGACAGGCGACAGGGCGAUUUGGUGUCGGGCGUUCUCCCUCUCGUUAGAGGGUGAGGCACUCGAGUGGUUUAAUGCCCUGCCUGCAGGUUCUAUUCGAAGUUUCGAAGGGUUAAAGGAGCUGUUUGGGCGGCAGUUCGCCGGUAAUCGGGCCGAAGACCCCACGGUCUUCGAACUUUCCAAUCUUAGGCAGGGGAAAGAUGAGACAUUGAAGGCAUUCAUGGACCGUUACCAGAAGAUGGUCCGAAGGGUUAAGGGGUUGAAUGUUGAACUAGCCCUGCAAUAUGUGAUGCCCGCACUUCGUCCAGGAACCUUUAAGGACAGUGUAUGCCGGAAGAGACCGAAGACUAUGGAGGAGUUAAGGGAGCGAGCGGCGGAUGAAAUGAGAGUGGAGGAGAUGAAACAGGCAUACAAGAAGGAGAGCCAAGAGUUGAAAGAGAAGGCCGAGGGUAAGAAACUCGACGGGUCCUCACGGACGGGGGGCUUCAAGCCCCGGGAGGCCCACCGAGGACCCAAGUUCCAACAAUAUACCCCGCUCAACGCCCCCCCUGCCCGCAUCUUACAAGAGGCGUUGAGCGUCAAUUGAAUCCCCCCCCUAAAAAAGCGGCCUACGCCGGCCGGAGCUGAUGGCAACAAACAUUGUUUGUAUCACCAGAAUAUGGGACAUACCACGGAGGAGUGUGUGACCCUACGAGACAAGAUCGAAGAAUUGAUUCGUGCCGGGCACCUGAAGCAAUACAUCCGAACGGUACCCGCCGAACCUCGGCGGGGGCGGGGGCCAAGUCCCGUUCCGAGGAGGAAUCAGGAUCGUAGUCCCAGUCGGCCACUCCGGCGAACGGACAAUCGAUCAAAUUACGAUGACCGAAGGAGGAGGAGUAGAAGUCGCAACGGGGACCGUGAUCGGCCGGUACGCGGUCGAAUCAAUACGAUAUCUGGCGGGUUCGCAGGUGGGGGACCGUCGACUUCCGCCCGAAAGCGCCAUGUGAGGGCAUUGCGGUCGGUGAACAGCGUCCAAGCUAGCCGGAAAUCCAUGCCGCCGAUAACAUUCACAGAUGAUGACUUUCACGCCCCGGAUUUGGAGCAGGAUGAUCCGAUGGCUAUCACGGCUGAAAUCGCCCGGUAUGAAGUGGCGAAAGUCCUUGUCGACCAGGGGAGCUCCGCCAAUAUCCUUUAUUGGAAGACCUUUUUGCAGAUGGACCUUUCGGAGGAGCUGAUCGUCCCCUUCCAUGAGCAAAUUGUGGGCUUUGCGGGAGAGCGAGUGGACACCAAAGGGUACGUGGAUCUCCGCACCCGGCUGGGGGCGGGGCGGGAUGGUGAUGAGAAGAAGGUUCGGUAUCUGCUGGUGGAUGCCAAUACUUCGUAUAAUGUCCUACUGGGGCGCCCGUGCCUUAACUCCUUCGGCGCCAUUGUAUCCACACCCCACUUAACUAUGAAGUACCCCAACGACCAAAAAAGAAUUGUAACGGUACGGGCUGAUCAGAAAACGGCAAGGGAAUGUUAUGCUGCCGGAUUACGUAUGUACCCCCGAGUGUCAAGGGCAAAAGUGCCGCGGUCGGAGGUGGCCAUGGCUGAUUUGGACCCACGGGUGGGGACGGAAGAUCGAAUGGAGCCGCACGGGACAGUUCAGCCGGCCAAGCUGGGGUCAAGAGAGGACCAAGUCACUACAAUAGCAGGAGGCCUGGAUCCUGCAUUCGAAGACGGCCUUAGGGGCAUGUUGUGGCGGAACAGAGAUUUGUUCGCCUGGACUGCGGCCGAUAUGCCAGGGAUACACCCAUCCAUCAUGACACACCGUUUAGCCCUCUUUAGAGAGGCCCGACCGGUGGCCCAGAAGAAACGGCGAAUGGGCGCCGAGAAGGAGCGGGCGGUCGAGGAGGAGGUGAAGAAACUCAAGGAGGCAGGAUUCAUCCGCGAAGUGACAUAUACCACUUGGCUUGCCAAUGUAGUAAUGGUGAAGAAGCCUAGUGGCAAGUGGCGCAUGUGCACCGACUACACAGAUCUGAACAAAGCUUGCCCCAAAGAUUCCCAUCCCCUCCCGAACAUAGAUAGUCUGGUAGAUGGAGCAUCUGGCCAUCGUGUACUCAGUUUCUUGGACGCGUACUCCGGAUACAACCAGAUACCAAUGCACGAGGCCGAUCGGGAGAAGACGGCGUUCAUCACUAACCGAGGAAAUUAUUGUUAUGACGUGAUGCCGUUCGGAUUAAAAAACGCCGGCGCCACGUAUCAAAGGUUAAUGGACAAGAUCUUCGCAGACCAGAUCGGACGGUGCAUGGAGGUGUACGUGGAUGACAUGGUCGUCCGGUCCGCAACCCCCGGGGAACACUUACAUGACCUGGAGGAAGUGUUCCAACAGGUACGCCGCUAUAAUAUGCGCCUUAACCCUGCCAAAUGUACUUUUGGUGUCUCCGCUGGCAAAUUUUUAGGGUUCAUGCUGACCGAAAGGGGGAUAGAGGCCAACCCCGACAAGUGCGCGGCCAUCCUCGACAUGCGGAGUCCUGUCAACUUAAAGGAAAUCCAGAGGUUGGUCGGGCGGUUGACGGCUCUUGCCAGGUUUAUUCCAAAACUGGCCGACCGGAUACGACCAAUCCUGAAAAGGAUGAAAAAGGGGGACGAAGCAGGGAGCUGGGAUGCGGAGUGCGAGCUAGCAUUUGCCGCUGUAAAGAGCUUGUUAACCAACCCUCCCGUGAUGAAUCGCCCACUCCCGGAUUCCGAGUUGCAGGUAUACUUGGGGGUAUCCCAGGAAGUUGUCAGCGCGGCCCUGGUCCAAGACGCCAGUGAGCCUCGCCUGAUAUACUUCGUCAGUAGAGUGCUUCACCCGCCGAGACCCGGUAUCAACUAGUCGAGAAGGUUGCUCUAGCUCUUCUCCAUGCGUCAAGGAGGCUCCGCCCGUAUUUCCAAAGUCAUCAGGUGGUUGUUAGAACCGACCACCCCAUAUCCAAGAUCCUGAGGAAACCCGACAUAGCUGGGAGGAUGGUGAGCUGGGCGGUGGAGUUGUCAGAAUUCGGCCUACGUUUUGAACCGCAAGGAUCUGUCAAGGGACAGCACUUGGCUGACUUUACACUAGAAUUGCCUCCAAACCACACUUCUGAAGGGUGGAGCCUUUAUGUGGAUGGUGCGGCCGGACGGGUGAACGCCGGAGCCGGGGUGGUACUGGAGGGACCAGGCGGUUUCCUCAUCGAGCAGUCACUUGUGUUCAAGUUCAAAGCCUCUAACAAUCAGGCCGAGUACGAGGCCCUGAUCGCCGGACUGGCCCUGGCCAUAGACAUGGGGGCCCGAUCCCUCACGUGUAGAACCGACUCCCAGCUGGUGGUCGGACAAAUGACGGGUGAGUUCCAGGUUAAAGACGACCAGCUGUUGAGAUAUUUUCACAAAGCUAGCACAAUGGCCAAGAAUUUUCAACCUUUCGUAAUCAAGCACAUCCCGCGAGAAGAGAACUCCCGGGCGGACAUGUUGUCUAAGCUUAGCACUGGCAGGGAGAAAGGACAACUGACCACCGUCAUUCGCCAGGUCUUGACGGAGCCGUCGGUGGAGUGCAUGGCCUUGGAACCACCCGCCAACAAUGACUGGCGGGUCGAAAUCAUGAAGCUGAUGGCGGACCAGGAUCAAGGGAUUGGCUUGAGACCGACAGAGGCCAGACGGCUGGCCCGCUACGUCAAUAUAGGAGGCGACUUAUACCGAAGAGGUUUUUCUGUCCCCUUGCUAAAGUGCAUAAGUCCAGACCAGGCAGCGUAUGUGCUGGACGAACUCCAUAAUGGGAUUUGCGGCCUGCACACGGGAGCGAGGACGUUGAGAGCGAGGGCCCUCAGGGCCGGAUAUUAUUGGCCCACGAUGGAAAACGACGCCAAAGCUUUUACCGCAAAGUGUGAGCGGUGCCAAGCCCAUGCGAAUAUACCGCAUGCCCCNNNNNNNNNNNNNNNNNNNNNNNNNNNNNNNNNNNNNNNNNNNNNNNNNNNNNNNNNNNNNNNNNNNNNNNNNNNNNNNNNNNNNNNNNNNNNNNNNNNNNNNNNNNNNNNNNNNNNNNNNNNNNNNNNNNNNNNNNNNNNNNNNNNNNNNNNNNNNNNNNNNNNNNNNNNNNNNNNNNNNNNNNNNNNNNNNNNNNNNNNNNNNNNNNNNNNNNNNNNNNNNNNNNNNNNNNNNNNNNNNNNNNNNNNNNNNNNNNNNNNNNNNNNNNNNNNNNNNNNNNNNNNNNNNNNNNNNNNNNNNNNNNNNNNNNNNNNNNNNNNNNNNNNNNNNNNNNNNNNNNNNNNNNNNNNNNNNNNNNNNNNNNNNNNNNNNNNNNNNNNNNNNNNNNNNNNNNNNNNNNNNNNAGCUAUUGUAUCGCCGUGGCCGUUCGCCAAGUGGGGGAUGGAUAUCGUCGGCCCUUUUCCCCCUGGCCGAGCACAGAAAAAAAUUUUACUUGUUGCCGUGGAUUAUUUCACGAAGUGGGUAGAAGCAGAACCCUUAGCCUCAAUCACCGCCCGUCAGGUGCAAAGUUUUUUCUGGAAAAUAAUAUGUCGGUUCGGACUCCCACAGACGGUCGUCACUGAUAACGGCCGGCAGUUCAUUGAUAAAAGAUUGGAGUCGUUCUUUCAAGGACUGGGAAUCAAGCAUGUCACCAGUUCGGUUGAACACCCCCAAACGAACGGCCAGGCGGAGGCGGCUAACAAGGCAAUUGUGGCUGAACUUAAACGGCGAUUGAGCGACAGAAAGGGAACCUGGGUGGAUGAACUGCCGGAGGUCUUGUGGGCAUAUCGUUGCUCCCCGCACGGAACUACCGGGGAAUCCCCGUUCAACUUAACUUAUGGGACUGACGCCAUGUUGCCAGUAGAACUUGGGGAACCGUCAUUACGCAGACAGAUCCAGGACUUGCAGCUAAACGAGGAAGAGUUAAGGGUCGAGCUAGACUCCGUAGACGAACGACGGGAUCGCGCCGUGUUGCACGCGGAGGCCUGCCGGCGGUUGGUAGAGCGGCGAUACAAUACCAAGGUGCGACCAAGGCACUUCCAAGAGGGCGAUUUAGUAUGGAGAAAAACUGGAGAUGCCAGGAAAGAGCAGGCGCACGGAAAGUUUGCGGCGAAAUGGGACGGCCCAUUCCGGGUGCUAGAAGAUUUGCAAAACGGCGCCUACCGCCUUUCCGCCCCAGGCGGCCGGCCACUCCGGAAUACUUGGAACGCUUCCCACUUGAAAUUUUAUUUCAGUUAAACCCACGAUGUAAAUACUUUUGAAGAGUGAAUGAAGCCCAAGUGUUUACCCCUUACAGUUGCAAGAUGACCAGGUGGUGAACGGCGUCUUUUCUCCGGAAAAGACACUGCCACUUCCGUGCAGGUGGUGAACGACGUCUUUUCUCCGGAAAAGACACUGCCACUUCCGAGCAGGUGGUGAACGGCGUCUUUUCUCCGGAAAAGACCCUGCCACCUCCAAGCGGAUGGUGAACGGCGAGUUCUUUUAGAACCAUUGCCGCCCGCGUAAUGCCCACGAAUAACACGAUAUGUCCCGUCAAAGGGCCGCCAACGGCGAGCCUUAUAAAAUCACCGCCGACCGGGCAAUUAUAUUGCUUAAAUAAAAAUAAAGGCUACACAACGUGACGUGAAAACAAAGAAAUUCCACUAUCAAAAAGAGGGCUGUACAACAUAUACUGUGUAAGUAUAAAAGCAAAAGGCGUUUGGACCAAACGCAUAAUAACAACCCCCAACCCAAAAACAACAAAAAAGAGAUAAUAAACUAUCAACUGUUGUCAGCCGGCGGACCUUCGUCUUCCUCCCCGGGAAUUUCCGAAAGGGGGACCAGCUUCCCCUUAUGAACGUCCAUCCCCAGGUCCCAGUCCACAGAUGUCGGGUCAAAUUUGAAGAAAUAGGCGGCCUGGCGGAUGGCUUUGAAGAAGCCCUCUUCAUGUUCCAAUUGAACAUCUUGGUUGAGCCGCGUGAUAGUAUCCGCCAACUCCCCUUGCAGGCGGAUGUUCUCGGCAUGCAGCUCAACCAACUCUUCAUCCCGGGACGUGACCUUUUUGCCCGCUUCGGCCAAGGCGGCUCGCUGGCGGCUAUUCUCUUCCUGCUCCGCCUCGUACUUCAGUCCCAAAUCGUUAAGUUUUUGGGUAAGAGUCUCCACUUCGGCGCAGGCAUCCGCCAGCUUCUUCUGCAAACCCGCCCGCUCUGUGUCACAAUUAGCAUGCUCAAAGGUGAGCGACUCCAAGCUCGCCUUCGCUUCAGCGCCCGCCUUCUUCUCGGCUAUCAACUCCCGUUGAAUAGCAUCCAGCCCCCGGCGGUCAGCGAACUUUUCCGCAUACCACAUCAGCAUGGCUCCCCGGCUACUGUGCUUCAAGGCAGCUUUGAGCAACUGUUGUUAUGAGAGCUGCUCAACGAUUUCACGUUGCGCCGAGCUCAUCCGGAAGUCCAGCCGGUCGCUCACGCCGAAAGCUGGAUCCAUAAGACCGCCGAGAAGAGGUUGGGGAGUACGCUCCCGCCUGCUUCUCUUUGAGGAAGACCUUUCACCCUCCUUAGACCUCCUUUUCUUCUUUCGAGAAGCAUCGGCGCGGGAGGGGUCAGAGAGACCGGCCGCGGUCUUCCCGGCGUCAGCCACGGUCACCUGGGGAAUCGACCCAACGGGAGGGUCAACAAGAGUAACCUCGCCGGGAGCCGGAUCACCGCCGGCAAGCGGAAUGGCCACAGGAGUGGGGUCCACGCUCGGCCCCCGGCGAACGACCUUGAGAGUAGGUUUGGGAGGCGGAAUCUUCACAUCACCGCCCAGGCGAGGAUCCUUCUUCGGGGCAGGAGGGAUAUACUUCGUCUUACGGGGGCCGGGGAACGACAUAGCACCUACAAGGAAAGAGAGUAAAAUCAGCCAGAACAAAACAUAAACAUAACGAUACAAAACAAUAAAAUCGUACCAAACGCCACGUUAAUAAAAUCCUCGUGGCAUAGGCAUUCAACCAGCUUGCGGGCGGGGAGGCGACGGGGGAGAUCGUUAAUAAGCCUUACGGCUUCACGCUCGGAUGAAGUCAGAUCACACGCCGGCACCGACUUUAUUUGGGCCGGCUCCUCGGUCCAGUAAAAAGGGAACAGGGGUUCACCGGAUGGAUCCACAAAUUCCUUCCGGCUGCCCUCCUUUAUUAUUAUUUUAAAGAACUUGUGCUUAAAGUCCUUGAAAGAAUCCGCAUAGUUUUGAAACAAACCCUGUUGGAUGGACCUCAACGACACCCAACCUCGCGUCGUGACCGGCCGAACGUGGAAGUAAUGAAAGAAGACAGAUGUCAAAAGCUCGACGCCUAAAGCCGUGCACACCACCACGAACGCCUGAAUACAGGCCCAACUGUUCGGAUGCAAUUGGGCGGGGGCGACAUUCAUUCUCUUCAGGACGGCAGCCUGGAACCGAGUAAAUAGGAUCCGCACCAUCAUGCGACGGAACAAAUAUGUAUAAACGAAAAAGAAAUCCUCGGAGCUCGUCCCUUUCCCGUGACACACCCGUUCGUUGGGAUAACACACGCCAAUCCGAAAAAGUUGGGCGUCCGCCUCAUCACGAGCUAUGAAGGACUGGUUGGCCCACUCCAAGAGGACUCCCCGGUUCUGAAACUCGGAUUCAUAGGUUCCCACGUCAUGGGGGGCCUAGUCGUACCCCCUUAUUGCUGGCCAUCCUCCGGCCGGCAUGGGACGGAUGGGUUCAAGCUGCACGCCUCCCUCUAGGAGAUAGAGAGCCGUCCCGUGUAUGAUUCGGUCUGCCGGCUGACCGACAUCUGACUGUUCAGCCCUCGAAGAUGAUCCCGAGCUGUGCGAACUUCCGCUCCUGCUUCUGCUUGACGAGUCCCCGCCAUCCCCACCCGCCGAACCAGAAGACGAUAUGGUAAUUGCCAUUUAUUUUUACCUGGUUGGAAAAGAAAUGCCGAACGGCUGCUGAGGAAAGAGUGAGUAAAAGGUAAGUCUGAAGCAGUCAAACAACUCCUAUUUAUAGCCGAAAUAUUCGUAACUGCCAACCACAUCGCACCGUUCGUUUCAAACAUCAUCAAGGGUCUAGAUCGCGCGACUGUUCCAUUCCCCCGUAACGUCUCCAAUGGCAAUCUCACACGUGGUACUCCAUUUUUAAAUUUCCCGCUCAAAUUUUUCCCCCCUCUAUUUACAAUAACGCCCUAGCCGGUCCACGGAUGACACGAUACACUCCCAUACAGACGGGCACCGCUUAUAAACCCUACGACUUUCUGUCUAGGGCUUGGGGGGCCUGAUGUACUAGGGACCACCGACCGGUCAUGGUCAAUGCCGGAAAGAAGACCCAUGCUAUCCGACAUUAUCUGAUAUAGGCGAAGCCGGCGGUAGAAAAAGGAUCCCCCGAACGGGCCCGACAGCUAGCGCCCAAGCUUUCGUGCCAAUCCGCUUUCCGCCGUUACUAACAGCUAAAGAUUACCGGCCGGUUACACAAUGACCGGACGGUCAGAUACAAAAUCCACCCGUAGAAUGAGACUUAAGGAGGGGCACACGGUCGGCACAAUGACCGGACGGUCACGAUCAACAAGGUUAAGGUAAGUGUGGAAAGAUUAGCAUAAUCCAGUGUUUUAGAUGGCUGGGCCACAAUUGGGCCUUAAUUAAGGUAAUCUUAAUACCAGGCCCAUGUCUACCACUAUAAAUACAAGUCAAAGGUCACAGGUAGGUGGUUCAUUGAUUGCGCAUUUAAUUCUGACUUAAGAUACCCGAUCGGAUAACCAAACUGACUUAAGCAUCGGAGUGCCUUUAGCAGGUACCCUCCGGGAGUUUGAAGCAGGGGAGCGCGCGAGAGAAGUCGGACAGGAGGUGGAGUAGAGAAAAUUGGGUAGGUGACGUGUAUCUCGACCCAAUACCGGAACAAGUAAUAUUAUAGUAGUAGAAUAAUAAGAUUAUGUACAACAAUACAAGAUAUAGAUAAAUGAUUAUAAUAAAGAUUUGAAUAAUAAAGGUUUAAAUAUUAUGACUCUAAUAAAUGAUUAUGAUUAAAUCAAUUUAAGCGUUAUAGACAUAUAGACAUGAUAAAAUAUCUAUGGUACAAUAAAUUAUAAACAUAUUACCUUUCAUUUAAUAUUUAUUAAUUUAUUCAAUCCUCAAGUAUAUUAAAUAGUAUAAGUUUUACUCUUUAAUAAAAUUAUAUCUAUACGACAUAACUCGAUGUAUUGAUUAGAUUAUAAGACUAUGUACUUAUUAUAGUAUCCUUUACUUUUUAUGAUCUUUCUUUGUCAUUUCAUAUUUAUGCCUCAAAUAAUAAUAUAACAGGAUAAUUUAUUUAUGUGUAAGUUUAGUCUUGAAACUAAACUCACAUAUGAUGAUCUUCUUCAAUUCUUAUCAUGAAUAUUUAUUUUCUAAGUAUAAUACUUAGCAAAGUCAAAAUAAUCUCAAUACAAAUCGUUGUAACAAUACGUUUUACUGUCCCCAAAAUUAUUAACUCUUACUUAUAACUCAUAUAAAUCAAAUAAAACUCAUAUAACAACAUUAAUUUAAUGUAAAGAACGAAACAAGACAGUGUCUAAUGCUACUAGUGGGAGUCAAGUGUUACAUCAAGACAAUCACAAGAAUCACUAUACUUGUUUUUUUUUUUAUUAAGAUAAUUCAAUUGUUUUGUUUAAUUGUUUAUACUUAUUUUAUACUAAAGUUGUUCAUAACUCAAACAAACUCAUUUAAACAAAAACUUUGAAGGGUCAAAAUAUGAUUCUUUUACAUGAUCCAAUUGAUUUGUCCUAUUGUUUCUAUUUAUUUUAUACUAAAACACCAAAUUUAUAAUCAAAAUCACCUCAUUUAAAUAAAACCUUUGGAGUAUCACAAUACAUGCAAAUUCUUGAAAUUAUUUAACCAAUUCAAACAUUUAAUCAUUUAGUGCAAUGUAACAAUUUAUUUGAUCUAUUAAACCUAACAGUGUAACUUUUCAUAAACUUAUUCUUCAAUUCCCAAUACAACACACUCUUAAAGAUAAGUCAGAGCAUAUAUAAAGAAAAAGUUUAUCGAGAAACAAACAAUAUUUAUAUCUAAACUCUAUAUAAUUAAAACCUAUUUAUACUUUAACAUUUUUAUUAAUAAAAUAUGCACAUCUCAUUUUAUUAAAUCUUCUAUAGUUUUAUAAAUACUCAUAUCUUAUUUGUUCGCAAUAAUUAUUAAAUUUUAUAAUAAUUGUAUUAAAACUCAAACCAAUAGUAAUUAAUCCAUGCUUGUAUGUAAAGGAGUUCCCUUCAUGUUUUUUUUUUUCAUUUUUAUGCUCCAAGUUACUGUUUUAUUUUAACUACUUUAUAAAUUAAAUAAAUAAAAAUCAUCUACUAUACAAAUAAAAACCAUUUACAAAAUAAAUAAAACUUUUAUAAUUAAAUUGUAAAAAUUGUUUAUAUUUAUUUUUAUAAUUAAAUUGUGUUACGUAGUUUAAUGUGUUUUCAGUAUUUGAGAAGAAAUCGAAUGUACACUGCAUUAUCGUUAAACUAGUUUAAAAGUUGUGAUAGCAAAAGGCAUGAAAUUUACUCUAUACUUAGUUGGAGAAGUGGAAUGCAAACUGAAACACAAUCAAGCAAGGAAAAAAAAAAGUUUUGCAUAAUUCUCCAUCUUGGGCUGGGUCAAUAUAGGAAUGGGCUUAAUGGCCCAUACGAGAUCACACAUUAGUCCAUAGAAAAAAAAUAAAUAAAAAAAAAGAAAGAAAGAAGAGAAGCUAAUCACGAGUGUAGUUUGAACAGUGGAUAAACUUAAACUAGAUGCGAAUUUAUUAGUUACCCAAAAAAGUAAUUUAAAAAUGUACUUUUAAUUUGGAAUGACGUGUGAUAAAUUCAUUCUUUUUAAUGAUAAUCAUUUUAAAGUAAUACAAAAUAAAUCUUAUUAAGAACAUGAUUUUGUUAUUUAAAAGAAAAAAGCAAAAAUGAAAUAUUAGUAACAGAGUUUAUUUAUUUAUUAUUAACCGAAUUAGCCAACCAAAAUAUUCUCUCACGAGCAGGUUUAGACGGUUGGAGUUCGUAAAAUAUUUUUGUGAUAAAAUGAAAUAAAAAUAAUAAUUUUGAUUUGAAUAUUAAAAGAAUUAUAGGGAUUAAAAUUGAGAAGAAAAGCAUGGAAGAGGGAUUUAGAGAAAAGUGCGUGUGCACGUGGAGACAUGUGUUUGAAUAUGUGGAAGGCCGCAUAUGAAUAUUAUGCACACGUGCCCACAUGGUUGAGUGAAUCCCAGUAGAGUAAAUUCUUGAAAAGAAGAGAAGGAAGGUGAAUGUGAUUGCAUGUGGAUUCAUAAAAUCCCAGUCAACUGCACUGUGCCCCAGAAAUUUUACAGUCUCCAUUGUCUUAUUUUUCUCUCUUUGAAUGAUGCACAGUGAAAGAAUCUCUUGAAGAAGAUAAAAAAAAAGAGUAUUUUUUUCUUAUUUGAGAAUGAGACUGACAUGAAAAAACAACCCGCACAUUUUGCUCUGCAGAAAUGUAAACAAAUGACAGUACAAACUAUAAAAGAGAGUGAUGUUUCCGUUGAGUGAUUCUUUAGUCGUCACACAUGAUGGGCACAGAAAAGGAAAAAAGGGGCACAAGGAUCAUAAAUAAUGUGUGCUGUUUAUGCUCAGAACAGCGUUAUUUCCUUUCCACAUUUGAACACUAAAUCACACUUACGGGGCACUAAAUCAAACUCAUUUUUAAGGCUGGACCACCUCUGCUACAACUAAUGGUAAUUUUGUUCUGGAAUGAAAAACAGCAUCAGCCUUUAGUAACAUGUGUGUUGUAGUGGUAAUCUUCUCCUGAAUUGGAACAAUGAUGCGUGUAGAGAGAGAGAAAAGAGGCAUAGGUGUCCAUACAGUGUGGAAGGGGAAAUGGACGUGUACCUGGUUUUGUUAAGAGGGUACACAGUGCAUCGCUGUCUAGCAUGUGAAGCUUGUGGUUCAUCUCUUUCCCUCUAUAUCCCACCCAACUGGCACUUAGCACAUAUGGGUGGAGAGUCAGGACAAAACUAGUCUAGGAUUUCAGUCCGAUUCUCUUGGUUUUCUCCAACACUUUAUCCAACUUGUUGCUGACCCCAAACCAAAACUAUACAGCCACGUUGCCACGCAGUUAAUAAUAGGCCACACCAUCUAUUGCCAUGUUUUAUCAAACUCUUUUUUUUAUCCUUUUUACCACUCUUCUCUUCAUCAUAAAUUGGAGGGUAAGUGAAUAACCAACCUACCCCUUUUAGAUUUCAUUCCUUUGGGAACCGGCAGCAGCCAAGGAAAGCAAGAUGAAUGCAUUCGCAUCAUCACAAUGCAGCAGCGGGUGUGAGUCUGGUUGGACUCUAUACCUGGAGCAAUCUCUCCAGCUCAAUCACAAUGCCUUUUCACAUGCAACUUCCCAGUUUCAUGGUGAAGAUAACCACGAAUACAAAGCCAAGAAAGCCAAAAAGGAGGAGGCUGAGGAAGAGGACCUGUCCAUGGUCUCUGAUGCUUCUUCUGGGCCUCCACACUUGCCAGAUGCACAAGAUAAUGGUAGCUUUUACUCUGCAUCUAAGGCAGCAAAACUUGGCAAGAGAAGUAAGAAGAGGCAGAAGGUUAAGGAAUACCCACACCUGCCUUCUUUUCUUGAUGACACUGCUAGCUCUUCUGUCUUUGAUUUCUCCAUGGUGAGUUUGAUCUUGCUUGCAGCCAGUUGCAUUGCCCUAUCACCCUGCCUCAUUUUUCUAGUACUAAAAUGUUGUAGUUGUAUGCUAUAUAGUUGAUACUUUCUUGGCUCUUGAUAAUUUUUCAGAACAAUGUCACAGUGACCAACCAACAAACUUCCACAGAGAGCAUGCUAGAAUACUCACAAGGUUUCUCUGCUACUUAUUAUGAGGUACUUCACUGGCUCCAUUCAUUCUUUCAAGGUUACAUUUUAUUCCAACUCCUCACAAAAAUAUUCGUGUUCUUAUAGGAGAGAUCCUCGUUGCAAGACCAGUUCGGCUUUUUAGAACCAUCCCUAUCAGAAAAUGGAGUUGAAAACAACAAGCAAAUGCUUCUUCUGUACAGUGGCCAAUCUUCAUGACUGUAUCCCCCAGAAGUAUUUUAAUUUAUAAUGUGACCGCUCCACUGCAUUCUGUUCUUGACAAAUAUGGUACGGAGUGAAAGAGAUGGGGAUGAUAUAAAGAUCAGUUCUGUUUCUACUAAUAGAUAUCUCUGCAAUUCAACUUGGUGCGGCGGAAGAUACAGAAGAUCCAUGAAGGGCACAGAAUCAAUGAUGAUGUAGAAGGAGGCUGACCUCAAAAGGGGUUCUGUUCCUUUGUUUUCUUUUAUCGUAUAUUUUAACUGUCAAUGCAGUGAUAAACAACCUGAAAGGAAAAUUUGGAAAUGAACCUUUCUUUUCCUUUUUCUUUGAUAAUCUAGUUUUCUUGUCAAAGAAUAGUGCACACAAGACAGACAAGUUAGGCAGGUUCUGUGUAAUGAAAGCAUGCUCAAUUUUUGUUUUUGACGAAGUCCCAUGCUCAAUUUAUAUAAGCAAAGCAGCACUAGCAACUUUUGCUGCCAAAAAAAUAUAUAAUUUUUCAACAGCAUAUUGUCCAAAAACAAAAUGACCAAACUUUUGUUUUUGUCGUCCGGGUAUAACAUACCAACGCGAACAACUUUUUCACACCAAGGAAUAUAGUUGCAGAUGCCUGGUAAAGGUUUAAGUGGAGUGGAACUUGUGUCCAUGUUCAAAAUUCAGGGGGGGCAGAGUUACCUGCUAACAGUGCUUUGGAAAUGCAAAAUUAGAAUUUCUUUAACAGUGCAAUGAAAUCUCGGGUUUGACAACGUGGUAUCAAUCUUUGUGUGUAGUUUACAUCUCAGUUACGCACAUAAGUGAGUCCUAAGCGAUACUGCUGGAGAUAUAUUCUCCAAUCUCUGAAAAUUUUGCAAUUAGAACUCAUAAUGCACAUUACAAAAUUCUAAAGGAGAUCCGAAAUCAAGAAAUUAAUACAAAGAAGGGUGUAACGAUGAUUGUGGAUUUCGCAAACCCAUUGCACGGUUUCUUCAGCUGUUUUAAUUAUAAAAUCAAAUCUGUUAGUGAAGGGAGACAAAAUGUAGUGCUGCCCACUAAAUCUCUUAAAACGGAAAACUUUGAAGAAUGCCGUGUGAUCCUAAUUGAUUAGGUAGGAUGUCUCCAAUCUUCAUUUGGAUCUUUACAUUAUGUCUGUGAAUAUAAGUUGAGAGGAAAAGGGUUUAAUCAUUAACAAGGACAAGGCCUUGUUCAUAGGGCUCUAUUUAUUCUGGAAGUUGUAGUGUUUUCCUGUGGGCUGAAAAUUAAGGGAAAAUGGUUGAUCUGUUUGGAAAAGGAUAAAAGAUGAUAAAGGUGUGUGAGUUAUGAGGUAUGGGUAAUGAGGAGAGUGUAGAGAGAUGAGGGGAAAAUGGUGAUGUUUAUGUUGGAAUAUUUGAUAUGCAUCUCUUUAAAUCUUUUCCAAGAACAGGAGAUCCUGCCUGAGAUCUUCCUGACCCAGAGGAACAUGCCCCAUUUGGUUUAGUAUGUCAACUUUAUCUCGUUUGGAAGGAUCCCCAAUUUUAAAAUAUCAUAUAUCAUGUUUUUAUAUGUACCUUUGCUCCCUUCAACUCUGUCUGCUUGGAAGCUGUCAUAGGACUUGAUGUCAUGCACAAUUAUCUGUCCCUUCAAACUUUUUUUUAUACCUUUACUCAUUCCCAGUCAGUUCCUGUUGUGAAUAAAAAAAUCUAAGAAGGGUGAGAAUUUGGGAUGUCAGGAAUAAAAAAAUGGGUAAAAAUAAAAGAGGAAGCUAAGCUAAAGACAAAGAAAACUCAUAAAGACAGAGAAAUUUAAUUUAAAGGUGAAGAUAGUCACUGCGUAGCUGCAUUCCAUGAAAUUGGAUAAGAGUCCAAAAGAGUAUGGGAAAAAAUUUUCUGCCUUUCCAACCACCGCCAAACCAUACACAGAGGAGAAGAGAUAUAGAGAUAGGAGGGGCUUCAUAGCUUUCAAACACGUGGUUCAUGCUUCAUCUUCUAUUUUCCUCUCCAUUUCCAAUCUAUUUUGGCUGUUCCCAUUUCUCAGGACAACACUCUGCAUGACAAAUGCUGAAUAACAGUGAGUGAGUCAAGUGGUAAAAACCAAAAUCUACAAAAUCAUGGCUAAUAGUCUUUUUAUGUUGAGGAAUUCUGCACUUCAUACUGUUAUAUAUUUCCAUCUACUUUCUAAUACACUGCCUUAAUCAAACUGUAAACUUAUCCAAGUAAAACAAGGUUGAAAGUCAGGAUGAAUCACCAGGUCCAAACUCUCUACGGAGAAUUCUGUUGAAAUCAGCACUUUACUGUUCAACAUUGGACUUCACAUCACAAUGCAGCAAUGUAACCCUCUCGGUGAUCUUGUAUUGGAGUUGCAAGUCACGUAAUGCCAAUCACAACAAGGCACGAAGAAAAUAUGGUGUAUAAAGCAGUGACCAAAGAGGCAAAGACAAAACUUAGGUGGUGUUACCACAUGUGCAGACGUUGAUUAUGAACUGUGAAAAACAUCACUAGCUACUGUCAUGAAACAGUACCUAGGUCUUGUUUGGGAAGUGACUAUUGUGGAACAUUGUCAAGCUGACUUAGGCCCACUUAGGAAAAUAAAACAAACAAGGUGAUCUAAUAUUAGCUCACCAAGCUCAAUUAUCCAUUUUCUAGUUCAGUGUCCCUUAUGGCUUCAAAACCUUCCAAAGCUCAUGGAGACACACUGCAGUGGAUCAUCAUAUCGCUAUAAUUACUUCACUGUUCGCCUGCUGCUAAAAACAAAACCAUAAUUUCACUUCAAUUCAUUCACGUCGAUACAGGUAAGACAAAACUUAUGAUAAAUGCUGCUUCUAGUAUCGUAAAUUUUAAACACUUAUAUUUUAUUUUAAUAAGUUAGAAGAAAAAAUUGGACAUCAGAAACCUAUUUGAUACUGUAAGAGAAAAAAAUGAAGCGUGGAGUACCAAAAACUGGUAAUUUCUUGUCAUUCUUCUGUUCAUUUUUAUCACAUUUAUUAGUUUCUCCCUUCGUUUUUUUUUUUCUUUUUAUCUCUCUGUUUUUUAGCCAUACACCUAAAAAUGGGAGAAUAUACAAUCUUUUUGACACCAGAAAAAUUACGGUCGCGUUUAACCUAGAAGUAAUGAUUUGGGUCCCUGCCAAACUUUGCAGUUGUCCAGUUGACUAGUGAUUUGAAGAUGGAAGCUGCCAGAACAUUUCUUGCUCCUUGAAUUAGUCGUGCAUCUUAAUCCAAUUUAGUGAAUUUGCUUUAUCGAAUUGUUAGUGUGACAUUUUGCAGGAGAAAGCAAAUCACAAAGAAAGGCCAGCUAGUAGAACUUGCAUGUCUGACCUCAAGGUAUCAUUGAAAGAGAAAUGUUGUUAUCACGGAAGAAUGUAAAAUAUAAUAAAGGGAAGAAAAAGAAUCUGGAUACUGCGGAAAUUUUGGUGCUUAUAGCAAAACUAUUACUGUAAUGACAAGUGUAUGUAAAGCUACCCACGGAAUAAUGUACAAGAUGAGUAACGCCGUUGAAGCUGAAGUAUCAUACGAGUACAAGCAGCCAGAAGAUACUGCAAUGGGCUGCUAUUAAAAUUUAUAGCAUAUUAAUGAAGAGUGAUUUUCAAAUUAGAAUACAUUUCUUUAUGAGACGCUAUUAGAUGCCUGGUUAGUUACUCCAGCAAGCGUUUCUGCUUACACCAGGCAAUGGCAACUACAUACAAGAAUAUGGUCCCUGCAGUGCUACCACCAACAGUCCAGAGGAACUCUGUCAUCCCGGCUUUAUCUGGAUCAAAUAGCUCAAUGUGAAUAUUCAUGCCAAAAACUCCGGCCACAACAACAAAGGCACUCACUACCAGAGUUGCUGUGGUCAACAUGACUCCCAUUUGGAGGAGAUGGUUCUGUUUGUCAUCCAGCAUGAUGUUGAUGUAAUCCUCCGUGUCAUCAACAUAUUCCCUCAGCUUCAUCAGGACAAUGAACAAAUAUGAAAGAGUUAGUAACAGAGAAAUCAAUUUUCAUUUCAUUUUUCAGCUAACUAGUAAACUAUAAUAUCAUGUGAAAUUGUUACAGAAGAUAAAACCAUAUUGGAUCAGAAAUGUUCAAAGAUCAUAACCUAAACCCUAAAGACAAACUCCCAUACGUAUAAUUCAUCCGUCUUAGGAACCAUAUUGACCAAGUCCCCAACAUUUAAAAAAAUAGGAGUUUGCUACAAAGGUUUGAAAUAACAUGCAUCUUAGAACACGUAUGCAACAGCAUUUUAUAUCCUACAAGAUAAGGGGCCCAUCAAGGUGAUUGGCGAAGGCUGGAACUUGUCAAAUACAGCCUUCAAAGACUAGUUUGUCAGUCAAAUUGGUCCCCAACUCCCUAUAUAAACUUUAGAUCCAAAUGUAUUUGUUUCCAGUGUCGAGUAUCAGUAGAUAAUGACGGAUAGAGCGUCAUCACCACUGAUGGCUAUCAGGGGAGUGAUAGCAGAGAGGCAUGGCAGUUAAUGGGUUUAGUUUGCCUGCAAAAAAGGGCUAUUGUGACUGGUUUUUGGGGAGGUUUGACAAGGUUCCAAGCACAACAGUGUCUUUUUUGGGUCCAAUGGUUUGAUUUAACAGUAAGUUGAAGUUACUUAUAUAAAGCACAUGGAUAGGGAGGUCAAAGGUUGAGAGUUUCUCCAUGGGUUUUUAGUGUGAUGAGUUUCCUGUGUGUUUGAUUUUUGCUAAGCUUACUUCUGGAUCCUGAUUUUAGUGCGUGAUGUUAGAGGCUAUUACAAAUAGUACGUUUCAGGUUGUUUGAUGUCAUUGAUGGCGAAGGGGGUAAGAAAGUCGGUCGUCAAAAGAUGCAAAUCUGUUACCUGUUCCACAACUAACAAAAGUUCCUUCUCCCUUCACUAAUAGGGCCAAGCUUCAAUCAACCAAACCUUUUAUCUCAACCAUUGUGUCUUUCCUCUCUGCUCUGGUUUCAUUUUAGUCUCUAGUCCAUAUUAGGGAUUACUAAUUUGACAUCCACAAAAAAGAUUGUCAUGAAAGACCCGUCCAUGACAAUUAACAUGUAUGUGAGAUUUCUGUAAAUGUCAACUCAAGCCUCUCAACUGAUCCAUGUACUAAACUUUCCACUAUGAAUUUAACAUUUUACAUCUUUUGGGGAGACCAACUUAACCGACUUCCUGUUCUUGAAAGACAAACACGAUGAAUAGCACCCCAUUACAUGUUUUCCUACGAAACAAAGACAAACUCCUGCCAAUCCAUGGCCUAAAAUACAAACAAGAAAAUAAAAAGUUACUCAUUUCAUGGCUUCUCCUCCAACAUUAUAUACAGAACCUCUUCCAGCAUCCUUCAAAUAAGGUUUCACUAGGCUACUUAAUCAGAAAGAACACUGUUUUCUUUUUUGAAACAGUAACUGGUGCAUUUGUGGUGGAACUCGUUGGUAUUUGCAGGCACUUAGAGGGGAAGGAAAAGUAAUAAAACAGGGGUGAUAAACCGAUGGAGCGGAAGGAAUUUAAGAUGAACGGGCGUGCAUACCGUUGAGAGCUUGUUCAAGGUGCCAUCGAUCUGCACAAAGUAAGCCUCCAAAAGCAUUUCAAGCUCCUCGACAUCAAGCUGCUUGGUGACGGCACUGUAAGUGCUACCACGGGUUCCAUGGCUGUCCCUUCCAAGAACAUUGUAGGCAUUGUGUUGAUCCUCGAAGCCCACCGGGGGGGUCACAGCCUCAAAGGAUAUUUCUGUAGUGGUCCUGAAAAUGGGUAGAAAAUUUACAUUCAGAGGGAUGAAAAGAGGGAUGAAAGAGAGUUAAAAAGAGGUAAAAAAAAAAGGUGGAUGCCUGUCAUCUAUAUCCUGCUGGUCGUGGUCAUUUAUGGAGGAUGCGGAAGAGCUCUCUUCCAUCUGCUGCUCGGCUAACUUUUCCGUCAGAUACAUCUCAGCCAUAUCAUCGUCGUCGUCCAGCAAGUGCUCCAAUUCAUCCCUCACCUGAACAAAUGAUCAAAUAAUGAAAUAAUCAAACCCCCGGAAGCCCAUGUCAUGCAUCAAUCACACCAACCAACCUUUUGAACACGGCCAGUGAUGGCGACUAAUCGGCUCUUAAUUUGACGAACGCGUUCCAAAUUGAGAGUACUGAUCUUGGAUGUGAGCUUGUCCAAGGCGGGAUGAGCCUCCUGCUCCAACGUCUUUGCCUGUGAGUAAUCAGAGGGAGAGAGGGAUUUAGGGUAAAUACAGAGGGAAAUUGUCGGGAAGAAAUGAAAAGAGGGAAGCACGGACCUCGUUCUCCAAUACGCUACAGGCGGCUUCAAGGCAGGCCUCCAGGGCCACGAACUCGAAAGGGAGAAUCUUGAUGGCAUCGGGGUCGUGGUCAUGAUCGGGGUCGGAGUCGGUGUGGUGGUCGUGGUGUUUGGAACAGGCCUGGUGGUGGCGGAGGAUCCUGGCCUGGAGCUCUUGGACGAAGGGGGUGACGGAGGGGUCGCGUGAGUUGAGGAGGAGGACCUCGUGGGCGGUGAUGAUGGCCUUGAUGUGCUCCAAGUUGAUGACGAUGGCCCUCUCACGGCCAAGAAGGGUGGAAGGGUAGGAAAGGAGAGGGUCCAAUAUGCGGAGGUCACGGGCGGGGAGGCCGGUGCGCCUCAUGAUGGCGUGCUUGCCGGCCUCCACCACCUCCGUCUCCCCUUUUCCGUCGAGCAUCAGCCAUUGCCUCACUCCGCUUCCCUUCUUCCGAAUCCCGGUCGCCGUCUGUCUCUCCUCUCCGCCCCUCAUCUCAUCCUCCUUCUCUCUCUCUUCUCCAUAUUCAACAUCUUUACUCCCAAAUUUUCUUACAGUUUACCUUUUUCUUUAACCAAACCCUCGUACACUGUGACUACCAAUUCUUUCCGUCCAAAAAGGUAACAACUUUUUCGAAACUACCUAUCAAAACAUCACCUUCUUUUUUCCAAUUCUUGUUUCAUCCCUUUUCUAUUACAAAUUUAAUUUAUAAAGUUGUUAGCCUUUUUAUCGCAGUAUUCCAUAUAUUAUUGUUUCAAUCCUUUCUUUAAUUAGUUUUUCCAAUUUUCGUUUAUCAUUUUCCUGAGAUGAAUUUCUGUUUUUUUUUAAUUAUUUUAAUAUUUCAAGUUUGUUUGUUAAGAUUAUUAUGUAGAUUUUACCUUUUUAAGUAUUAAGAAGGAAAAUAAGAAACGUUUAAAAUAAAUAAAAAAACUAGUUAGGAGCAAAAUAACUAUAGCACUUUAUGUAUGUUUGAAUUUCAUACAUGUUAUCCAAUACAACACGCAAUUUUUAAUUACUCAAGUUUAUUGACUUUUACUUCAAUUAUUUAUAUACUUUUGACAUUUUGAACGUGACAUUGAUAUUAAAAAGAAAUGCAUGAUACUUAGUUUUGAUGUAACUUAAAUCUAUUUGACCAUUUGUAAAACAAACUUAAUUAGUAUAAAUUUUAAAAAGUGAAUGUUAAUAGUAUAGUUAUAUAAAUAAAAAACAAUUCAUUUAUUUAAAAAAUCAGCAUUUGAAUCAAAUUUAAAAUAUUUACUCAAUGAAAUAAUUAUGUUUAAUAUAAAACGCAGCCCAGAAUCAUGUAAUAAACCAAAUCAGUUUGGACAAAUAGGUCAGAUUUAUAAUAGUGCAGGCAGUAUAAUGCAUUUUUCAGAUUUAAUUUUCUUCCAAAAUUUAGAUAGAAUUACCUGAUAGGGUGCUAUUAAAAGUGUGUAUUUCUUCCAAAAUUGUGGUUUAUAGUUUUAAAAGUGUGUAUACAUCACAUAAAACAUUAACAUAUUGAAAAAAACAUAUACCAUUAAAUAUUAAAUUUAAUAAUAAUUGCAUAUUACUUGACAUAUUAAAUAUUUAAUUUUAUUGGAUUUAUUUUGUUUAUCUUGUCUUAGAUCCUCUCCUGUUUGUCAAAAUUAAUCUUAUUCUGCAUAUUGAAAUUAAUCUUACUUUUAUCUCCACUUCAAACGUAAUUUAUCACACCAGCCCUUCGAGAGCAUAACAUUUGUAAGGACUGAGUGAGGAUUAUAAGAUGUGAAGUAGUUUCUAUCUGAAAGAAAAAUCAUUUAAAGGAAAAUAUUUCGGAACAUAAAGAUAAUGAUCAAAUCAAUUCCCCUCCACAACAAUCCAACUUCAAAAUUUCAUCGGCAAAAAUGCAUUAACCGAAAUGAAUAGGACUGAACAUAAAUCCUAGGCAAGAGAAUAAAUUACAAAAUAAACUACCAAAAAUUGGGCCAAAAUCAAGCAUCGGCAAUGGUCACCUCAACCUCUACACCAGGUUCAAUUGUGAUUGAGGUAAUCUGCUUGACCACAUCUGGGGAACUGUAGAGGUCAAUGACCCUCUUGUGCACACGCAGCUCAAAUCUGUCCCAUGUGUUGGUGCCUGAAACCAGAAGCAGGACAUAAACAGAGCUCACUACCAUUAAUUCCAAAUGGAAAAAUAUUCUCAAUGCACCAAGACCAAAAUAUUGCUUGGUCCUGCAUUCUCAUCUAGCAAGAAGACAUUUCUAAAAUCAUCAACAACUGUCAAACCUCGUGAUCGUGAGGUCUGGUGUGUCUAUUAAGCUAACAUUUCAAAGCUUGCUACUUAAGCUUCCCAACAUGAACGCCACUCUCUUUUCACCAAAAGUCAAAACCGUUGGAUUCAUUUUUCCAUUCAAAAUUAAUACCUUGAUUAAAACAAGAAUUAAAAGGAAUGAUAUUGAUUUUAAAACUUCCAGAGUCUUCACAAGAAUUUGGUAGCGAGCAUCCAUCCACAACUGCCAAAGAAAUCAAGGUGUACCGGAAAUUCGAUCUCAAGUGUCAUCCCAUGCCAAUAAAGAGAUAUUUCCUACGUUUAAAGUUUAUUAAUACUAUUUCUCUCAGAGAUAUAUAGAUUUUUUUCUCUGCGUCAAUUCUGAACAAGUUAUGGUUAAUCAGACACCAAUUUGAGAUAUUUAGCAACUGUCAGUGGGUUUAAUCUAUAAGAGUGAAGUUAUCAAAAGUAAAAUUACAGCAUAACAGCGGAGAAUGUGAGGAAAAAUACCUUCACCGCACGGGGAUUUUCUGGUGGUGAUGUGAAGAACUUUGGUUGGCAUCCUAACAGGUCCCUUGACCCUGAGGCGCUUGUCCCUGGCACCACGAACCAGGUCGGCGCAAACUAUGGCGAUUACGAUAAAGGAAACAAUUAGAAUGUGUGAAAGAAAAUGGAGAAGAAGAAUUGAAGAGUGGAAAAUGGUGUACCCUUUUCGAGAUUCUUGACAUUCUUAGAGGAAAGGGUGAUCCUGAUCUUAUGGAUCUGUUCCUCAGUUUCCUCCAAACCGGGUUUAGUGGGCUUCAUUGCAGCGUACGCCAUUGUAUCGGUAUGAUUCCCUCUGCGCACAAAACAAAGAAUGAAAAUGAAUGCAGAAGUAGAAAAUAGAAUGCAUUGGGAAGAAAUCACGCAUACCUUCCAGAGUGUCAAACAAUAUGCGUUUCUUCAGAAUUCAGUUUUAGGGUUUUUCAUGCCAUCACCAAAUGGGCCGGAUUAUUCAUUCAAUGCCUGGCCCGAUUAUAAAUCACCGGAAGAUUGCUGCACAUCUUUCACAAUCUGUCUGUUAAUAAAAACAAUAUAUUUUUUUUAUGAUGAUUAAAAUUAUUCUCAUUCAUUCAUUUGUUUUAGAAAAAAAAUGAUUAAAUUAAAUUAAAUUAUUUAUACAAACUAGCAAUGUGUUUAUUUAUAUUCUUAAAUUGGUUACAUUCUACAUUGCCAUUUUAUAGGCAUGUUCCAAAAUCAAAAUAGUAACCUAGAUUAAGUUUGUUUUCCAAAUCCUAUGUAAGUUAGACGUAUCUGACCAUAUUAUUAUAUACAAAUUUAGAGCAAAUUUCAUCUUAUUAAACGCGUUUAUAAUAGUAAAUUAAAUUUAAAUUUCAUAUUAAUAUACGAUAUUAAAUUUAUUAAAAGUUUAUUCUAAUUAAUAUUAUGUUUGAUUUAUAGUGUCAUAUAUUUUCUUUAUUUUAUUGUUUGAUAUUUUUCUUUAUUUUCAUAUUCGAUGUUGUCAAUAAUAAUAUAUAUUAAACAUAAGUAUAUUAUUUUAUAUUUAUAUUAUAUAUUGAUAUGGGAAUCUGGAGCGUGACUUUUUCUAAAUAUGACAAUAUAUAAAUGGAUUGGAGAAUAACAAAAUACGAAUCGAUUGAAGAAUCUGGCAUAAGAAAGUUUGAAUAUUUUAUGCAUAGAAUAGUGAAUACGAGUUUUCAGAAUGUCAUCUUUAAUAAAAUAUUAUAUGUAUUUAUAAGGUUGCUCUGAACCAUACGUAGUUAUGUGAUUUAAAUGGUUAAUAUUAUUUGUUAAAUAUAUUGUAUUAAAAAAAUAUUAAUAUAUUAAACUAUAUAGUAAAACUAUCAAGAUUUAAUAAGAAAUCUUCGUCGAACCGUGUCGCGUAGCAUGUUUAGAGGUAUGUAUGUAUAUAUAUAAUUUUAAACUGUAAUUUAAAAAAACAAUUGACGAAAUUCAUCUUAUUAAAUUAUUUUUGUAAUUAAACUGGGCUUAUUUCACGUGGAUUGCUUGACGAUACCACCUACAUUCUCUUUAAUUCACUCAAAACGAAAACCCAUCAUAGAACUUGUUCUCGAUCAUAUUAAUCAAUGAAUUUUUCUGCCAGUUUCAUCUUUAUAAUAAUUUUACGCAGUAAAAUUGACGAGUUAGAAAUAGUUUUCAUCAUGAUUCAAAUUAUUUUUUCCCUCUGAAAUUAGAAAUAUAUUUUAAUUAGAAAUAUAUAUAAUUAAAAAAUAAAUAAGAAUUUAAAGCGUAUAGAUUAUUUUCAAGGAUGACAUUGAAUGAGAGUGAAUGAAAUAGAAGAAACGAAGGUAACGUGCAAAUCAGAACGAUAUUACGUUUCAGUUUUCAGAAACUGAAAGUGAAAGUCUCAGUCUCCGUGUGAGAGAGAGAGAAGAAAAAAGACGUGAGUGAGGGUUCAAUUCAAAGUCUACAGAGCCAUCAAUAUAGACUACAAACUAUAGAAUUAUUUAUUUGCAGGAAUCAUGAAAAGUAUUAGUAAUAGGAAGAAAAACAAAAGAGUCGGUGGUUGGUAGCGUUGGAACCAACCAUGGAAAGAAAGAAAGAAAGAAGAAUCUGUAACCUAAAUGGAAUGGAAGAAGAAAGAGAUUAACGAGGAUGAGUGUCAGCAGCCUUCAAGGUCUUCUCUAUAAGCUUACGAGCUUUUCUGCUGCGAAUCUCGACUUUCACACUCGCACUUUUAUCCAUCUUUAUGUAAGGUUUUUUCCCUUUCUUCAGGUUCAGAGAUCUCACCUUCGACUUUAUCGACUCCACCAGAUUUCCCAGUUCAUUCUUCAUCCCUCUCUCUCUCUCUCUCUAUCUUCUUCCUUUCCACACUUUCUCCCACACACAACCAAUCCUAUAUAUAUACACACACACACUUUCAUCCUCUGCCACAUAAUACUGUAUUGUAAAAGUCAGAGCUACUAAUAAUAUUUUAUUAAAACGCUCUCAAUAUUGACCGCAAUUAUUUGAAUUUCAAUGAACAUCGUCCUGAGGCACAGAAUAGAGAAUUGAGGUUUAAAUGAGGAAGAAAUGGGCCGGCGCGUGGGAGGGAGCUGCACGUGUUAGUGUCGCACUUAAACUUAAACACAUGCAUUAUGUGGCACACUUUUCAGCGUACAUUAUUCGCAAAUAAAUGUUCAACACCUCGUUUCUCCCAACUACCUCUUUGUCUAUUUUUAAUUCUUCAUAUCCACUCACGUCAAAAGAAUCUCUACUAUUACAAAUGUUACUUCAUCCCUC
rnacentral:lncRNA from 1 species